rnacentral:lncRNA from 1 species
UUUUUUCUCGUUUUUAGUCGAUUUCGUUAAGUUUAGUUAUUAUGUCAUUUUAAUUCCCGUAUUUUCUCAUUAAGAUUAGUUUUUAUGUUUUAAAUACACCACCAAAACCCUCACAAAAAUCGCUUGGUUCUAGACUUCCUUACUUUUAUUUCUUUCGAAGGCUUUUGCAGGAAAGAUCUUCCUUCCCUGUGGAUUUGAUCCCUAAGUACUACAAUCGAUCGGCUGUGCACUUGCGGCUAUUGAUUUCAUUUAGGGUAAAACUUGACACUCUCACCACACGACAGCACAUCAGUAAACCCGAUAAAUCUCGAUUUCGAUGUCGGAGAUGCAAAACCAGAAGAUGAAUUUAUGGGUAAUUUAUCAUGAUCUGAUGAUGAUGAUGAUGAAGAUGAAGAGAAUCCUUACUAAUCUGUGUAUGUUUAUGAUUACAAUUGCUGAAUAAAAUUUUUGUAUUGUAAGAUAAAUUAUAUUGGUUUUUUUAUACAAAAACUAGAAUUUUACCGACUGAAUAGCGACUGAUAUACUACUAAAGGCCCAAUAAUUAAACCAAGCCCACUUAACCAACCCGAUUAACCCUUUAUCGCGAGAAAUCCCCAAAUCAGUUUCUAUUCGACGAACCCAAAUUCCCGAAAUCCAGAAAUCUCCCUUCGAAUCGAUCCCUUUUCUAAUCGAUCGAUAAUCCCUAAUAUACAGUUCUAAUCGACAGAUAAAACGAUCCCAUACCCUUCUAAAUCGAUCGAUAAUCCCUAAUAUUCAGUUCUAAUCGAUCGAUUUGCCUCUCCUCAAAAUCUAAACCCGUAAUCGAUCGAUUCCCAACGACCAUCGAUCUCAAGCCUCUCCUGGAAUCCGAUGGGUGGCCGUAGAAGGAAGAGACGCGGAGGAGCACGAUGAGGAGCUGACGUAACUCUCUUACCCAGUCGGUAUGAGUUCAUACCAGCGACAUCUCCACCACCGCUGGUCCCAACCUACACGCCAACACAUGUCCGAGACUAUCCACCACCGAUGGAGCUCUUCCAGAGCUCGCAACAAGGAGUCCCUGACUCGUAACCACCAGCUCAACCUAGAAGAUCAGAACAAUCUCAAAUUCGAUUCUCUCCAUCUCCUCAACACCGGUUCCAAGAGCAACCUCAUCGGCAGCAUUCUGCAUCACCUCAAUCUCAUCAAGGAGCUUCUGGAGCUUCUUCUUUCUCUCAAAACCGAGCCUCUCUAUUAUGUCAAGAAGGAGGUAAUUCUCCACACUCUCAACAAGCUCUUUAUGACGGUGAAGAAGCUGCAGUUCGAGAUCCUUCAGAAGAAGAAGACAGUGAUGUCAAUCUCUCUGAAGACCAGCUAAUGAUUCUUAAUGCCUUGCUCAAAAAGCCUGGGAGAGAGGCUUAUACUACGGUACUGUCUCCCAUAGAGAAACCGGGUACAACGUGGUAAGUCUACUUCCUCUAGCUUGAUUUGUUUCCUUUUUCAAAUGAUUAUCUCGAUGACUGCUUCCUUUGUUUUCUUUGUAUGUAGGUUUGGUUGUGACAAGUCCUCACUUACCCAGAAGAUUACCAAGGUCUUCACCAACAAGUUUGAUGGCCCUUUCUACAGCUGGACUCGUGUGCCUCGUGACAGACAAGAGCGUUACUUGGUGGAAUUCGCGGUAAGAUCCUCCUUUUUCAUAAUGUGUUUGUUAUUGUGUUUGUAACUAUGUAUUAUUAUAACAUCAUCUCUUUGUCUCUUGUUAUUGUAGAAAAUCCACACCUGGGAUCGCUUGAUCACUGGUGUGGUUCAAGCCAAGUUUGAGAGUAUUUGCAAAAGCCGGAUGAAGGAUAUGGUCAUCAUCGUAAGGACAUCAAGAGUGCAACCUAACUGGAUCGGCGAUACACUCUGGGAACAAAUGAAUGCGCAUCAGGACACAGAAGAAACCAAAGAAAAGAGUUCAACAGCUUCAGCUGCUCGGUUGUCUGAACGUGGCGGUCUUGGUCAUCACGUUCACUACUCAGGUCAGAAAUCCUAUCUGCAAAUCCAGCAAGAAAUGGUAACUUUCUAUUUUUUUUUAUUAUUCAUUAAGUGUUAAAGUCUUAGGAAUAUGAUUAAUAACUUCCCACUGACAUAUUUUGGUUUAUCAUUUCAGGAAGAGGAAUUAGGUAGACCGGUGAGUUUUGGUGAAGUUUUCAUCAAGACUCACACAAAAAAAGAUGGGAGUUAUGUGGAUGGAAAGGCAAAGAGAGUGGCUGAGACUUACCAGAAAAACUUGGAAGCCAAGUUGUCUGCCAUCAGGACUAAAAACUCAGAGAAUCAUGAGGGUACAUCAUCUCGUCAAGAGCUAACUGUAAAAGAGGAGAAUGUACAUCACCUCGUCGCAUAUGUAGUCGUAAAAUAGUCGCUAUAUUUGCCGACGACAUAACGACUAAUUUACGGCAAUGUAUAUCACACGCAACUUAGUCGUAAUUCAGUCGCAUAUGAGCGACUAUUUUACGACUGUUAGAAUUAGCGACUAAGGAUUAGCGUGUUUGUUUCAGUCGCUAAUCGGACGUAAAAUGCUGAGUUACGACUGAUUUCCGACAUUUUCUGCUGUCGCUAAAUUGGUGUUUUCUUAUAGUAUUGGUUACUUACUUCUUCUAUGUUUUAAUUGUUUUGAGGUUUGCUCUCAUAAUUAUUUAGGUUUUACUGUCAAGCUUUUUCCUCAUAUUUAUUUUAUCUGUCACGGAAAUUGUUUUGAUUUACUAAUAUAUUUUUUGAAUUUAUUUAUGUAGUUAACGAUCGUCGUAUUCUCCAUUAGCCUCUCAUGUUGCCGUUUCAUCUUUCUCCGUCUCAAAAUGUUUUUUUUCGUUUUUUGGAUGACGAAAGGGCGUUCGAGCGCUGGUUGUAGUAAAUUUAUAGCUUUGAUGCAAUCGUCAAUAUCCACAAGCUAGGUUAUAUAUUUUCUUUUUGGCUGGGUUUGAGAUCGUUCGAAUCAUCAAUGGAGACCUCAUCUCCCCGGAACACCACCACAUAGUGUUACAUGUCACUGUCCUUUUUGAUGUUGUUUUUACACAAUUUUACAAUUAUAUUUUCUUUUUGUUUAUUGCUAAUAGUAUUAUAUGGAUUUGGUUCAUAUGGUUUACGAGAAAAUUGUCUCUCAUCAUUUUUUAUCAUGCCUCUCGGGUUACAAAUUUUGUUUUUGAUCGUGCCUUUUGUUCUUCUUCUUUACUUGCGUGGUAAGCUUUCUUUCCUAUAACAAUAUUGCGUCUAGCCGAGAAUCCAGCUACAAAUAAUUUACUGUUUCCAAAUUUCCAUAUUGGUUUAUAUAAGGUUUAGUUUAAGUUGGUACACUAUCAGGUUUUAUUAAACCAUCUAUAUUGUAAGUAAAGUAUACGGUUACAUGUAUAUAGCAAUUGUACAAAUAAAAUUUUGAAAUCAGAAUGAGAAAAUAUAUUUUCUAACAAACUCUUCUUCUUCGUUGAGCUCUCGUUCUCUUUCGCUAAUGCUUAGAAAUCUCCUUUUUAAUUUGCAAGUCCUGCUUUUUAAUAUCCCACAGGUUUUCGAGGUCGGACAAGGCAUUCUCAUCUUCUUUACUGCCGUUGACAGACCUCUUAGCCUUACCAGACUUUGAGGCUUUCACACCAGGUGGCCGAGCCUCCGAGACUUCCUCAUUUUCGCAUUCUGCUUGGGAGCUCGAGGAAUAUACACCCUCAUCGACCCUUCUUCUUUUAUCCUUCCCACCGUCUCUACCAUUAGCCGUGGCGCACCAUUUCUGGUUGUACCGUAGCUCCCUCCAUCCAUGGUCUAGACUGAACUUAACGUGGUUCAGAGCCAUCAAAGCUCUAAUUCCGUUUUCUCUUCAUUGAUUUCUUCAUUUUGAGCUUCAUUUUUGGAUUCUACGGUUCGAUCCGAAGAUAAGAUGGUGUUGUUGAAGAAUGUUCCUCACUGAUCUACUCCUUCGAAGAUUUCGACGACUUCAGGUCGCAAAUCUGCUCGAUCCUCUUCUGAUGUUGCUAAUAUGUUUCCGAAUACUCUUCCAGUAUCUGGAACCUCGCCAGUCAUUGCAAUCCCGGAUACUCAGGAUCCGAGUCAGUCUCCUAUCCAUUUACACAGUGCGGAUUAUCCAGGUUUGCAAAUCAUCUCUAUGAAGCUUGAUGGUACAAACUAUGAUGAUUGGAAUGCUGCGAUGUGUAUUGCUUUAGAUGCUAAGAAUAAGAUUGGUUUUUUGGAUGGAUCUUGGCCUCGUCCAACUGAAUCGGAUCUUAGUUUUUGCCUUUGGUCACGCUGUAAUAGCAUGGUCAAAUCCUGGUUAUUGAAUUUUUUCUCACCUUAGAUUUAUCAUAGUAUACUAAAGAUGAAUGAUACUACUGAUAUUUGGCGCGAUCUGUAUAGUCGAUUUCAUUUGACAAAUUCGCCAAGGACAUUUAAUCUCACCCAAGAGAUACAAGAUCUUCGUCAAGGUUCAAUGUCACUUUCAGAUUAUUUCACCACUCUGAAGACGCUGUUGAGUAAUCUGAAAAGUACAGAGGAACCCGAUGAACCUUGUACAUGUGGAAAAGCUGCUCGUUUCCAACUGAAGACAGAGAGAGAUAAGAUUGUGAAAUUCUUGGCAGGUCUAAAUGAUCUUAUGCUAUCAUUAGGAGACAGAUUAUUAUGAAUAAGGUUCUCCUGAGUUUGGCUGAAGUUUAUAACAUUCUCAGUCAAGAUGAUAGUCAGAAGAAUUUCUCUCCUGCUAUUCCUCCUCCAUCUGCUUUUCAAGUAUCUGAGAAUGUUUCUACUCCUGCAACAACAGAGCUUAUAUGCUACGUGCAGAAUGGCCCAAACAAAGGACGUCAUAUGUUCUUUCUGCAAUAAGGUCAGACCUAUUGCAGAGUGUUGUUACAAGAAGAAUGGUUUUCCUCCGGGUUAUACUCCAAAGGAAAAAUCAUUUGACAAGUCUCUGAAAUCUCAACCUGUAGCGGAUGAAGUUGCUUUGUUUUCUACUCCGGAAGUUAAGUCCAACAAUCUUGAUGGUUUGAUGGGAAAUCUGACUAAGGACCUGAUUCAGAAUUUUAUUGCUUUUUUCAGCUCUAAACUUCAACCUCAGUCCAACAACACCUCUGGUGAAGUAAGUGCAUCUACUUAUGUGGGUGAUCACACGGGUAUCUCUUUUUGACCUUCUACAUUGACUUUUGUUGGCAUUUUAACCGUUCUCAUCAUGCAAUGAUACAUGGGUGAUUAAUUCUGGUGCUACAAAUCAUGUCUGUCAUGAUAGUAGACUGUUCGUUUCAAUAGGCACUUCUAUUGUGAACUCAGUCAACUUGCCAACAGGUUCUACUGUUAGAAUCAGUGGAAUUUGUUCAGUAAUGAUAAACAAACAUAUCACUUUAAAAAAUGUGUUGUUUAUCCCAGAGUUCAGACUGAAUCUGAUAAGCAUCAGCUGUCGCACUACAGAUCUUGCUUCUUGUGUGAUAUUUUACCCUAUUUCAUGUGAAAUCCAGGAUCAUACCAGAGAAUUGAUGAUUGGAUAGGGUAUGAUAGUUGGAAACUUCUAUGUGCUGGACGUUCAAGCAUCUAUGGCUUUAGUGAAUGCAAUAGUUAAUGUUAGAGUAUGGCACAAGAGUUUGGGUCAUCCAUCUUUUGCAAAGCUGGAUGUUAUUUCUGAUGUUUUGGGCACCACACGUCACAAGAAUAAAUGAAAAGCUCAUUGUCAUAUAUGUCAUUUGGCAAAACAAAAGAAGCUCUCUUUUCCUUCUCAGAAUAAUAUUUGUAACUCAACAUUGGAUUUGUUACAUAUUGAUGUGUGGGGACCUGUUGGAGGAAACCGCACCCCGGUUUUCUCCGGUACAAACCGAGAUCGGCGAAAUGUAAGCCCGGUUUAUGAGGAAAUGUACCGAGAAAGAUGGGCCAAGUGAAACAUUGGGCCGAACACAGCCCAUUAGGCCGAGGUCGGUGAGAAGCCUCUCGAAGGAAUGGAAGGUUUCCCUGCGCUCGGUCGAAAUAGGAAUGUUUCCUAACAGAAAAUGGAAACUUCGAAGAGAAAAGGAAAGGACUGAGAGAAAAGGAAAAUCCUCUCGGUCCCAUAUCGCUUAAGACGUGCUUGAAGACCGACUGAGAGGAUAUAUAUAAAGGGAGACGAAUCGACACCAGAGAACACAAGAUAUUCCCGAGAAGACUUAGCGACUGAGAACUCAAAACGUUAGACUCUUAGUUGCAUUAAGUCUUAGUUCGUUAUUGUCCAUCUAAAUAAUCGAACUCAGUUGUAUUUGCUUGAUUCGAUCUAAUAAAAACCAAGUUUCCGAUCUAAAGUACUGUUUUGUCCCUUGUCGAUAUUCACAUAUCAACAAUUGGCACGCCAGGUAGGGGGCUUAAACAGAUUUCUCAAGUUUUAGAUCGGACUUCGGAUAGAUUGAAUCAGCAAUGACGGACCAAGCCAACCUUCAGGAGGAAAGAAACCCUCUCGGUGGAGAAAACGCGAACGCUCCAACCGAGCAGGCAGGAGGAACUCCCGGGGAAAACGCUGGAAUCGCAGCCGGGCAAACCCCCGCAGCCGGGCAAACCCCCGCAGCCGUAGGAGGUUAUGGAACCGAACUUUUGCUCCAAGUAUUCAACGCUCAGUUCGAAGCCAUCAACAAAAAGAGCGAGGAACGUUUUAGCCAGAUGGCGGCGCAGAUCGCCGAGCUCAGUCAAACCCGAACUCCCCUUCGAGUCCGAAACAUCAUUGAAGACCUUAAUACUGACGGAGAUCCGGCCGGAACUAUGAGGUCUACCGCGGUGGAUCAGCGAACGCACCAGCGUCAGAUUUAAGUCGAGAUGCCGAGUUCGAGGCAAUGAAGACUCAGCUCCGUGAGAUCACGUCAAAGAUACGCCAAGCAACAAGCGCGGCUCCGGAGAUUGAGCGCGUCAUUCAAGAAACGCAGAAAACACCCUUCACGCCGCGCAUAGCAGGAACACCGGUCAAACACAUGGAAAAACUUAAGAUGAAGGUCUAUGAGGGCAAUACCGACCCCCAACACUUUUUGACGUCAUUCGGAAUCUGCAUGAACCGAUACCAUUUCAGAACCGCCGAGGAGAGAGAUGCGAUCCAGUGCCAAUUGUUUGUGGAAAGCCUGGGAGGAAUAGCCCUCGAUUGGUUCUCGCGACUCGAGGCGAACUCGAUCGACAGCUACAAGGAAUUGACAACAGCAUUCGUCAAACACUUCUCGAUGUUCAUCGGGCAGAACACCAAGAACUCCGAGCUAUGGCAAAUAACUCAGGGAGCAAGCGAGAGUCUUCGCGAUUUCAUCCAGCGCUUCAAAACGAUUGUCGCCAAUUGCACGAUCAGCGACGAAGCCGCCCUUCUUUGUCUCCAGAAAGGAGCUCGGAUAAAGACUAGCUUCCGUAGCGCGCUCACGCACAACCCCCCUCAGACAUUGGAAGAUGCUUUACACCGAGCUAACACUUAUAUCGUCGAAGAAGAAGAAGAAGCCGCCUACGAGCAAAACUAUUCGGCGAAGCAACCCGAACGUUCGAAAGAAACAACUAGUGAACCGCAGUCAGGAUACGGUCGAGGGUAUGAGAAUCGCAAGAAGUUCUACGCUAAUGCAAUCCAACAACCGACCAAACCGGCGAAGAAGAUCAAGACGAGUCUUUGUUCUGCGAAUUCCAUAACCGCAGAGGACAUAACACCGAAGAAUGCAGACACUUGCGUGAAUACCUGCUCGGCCAAUAUCGAAAGGGGCCAAUCUCAGUGACGACCUCCGUCGCUUAAACGUGUCCAAGAACAGCGGACAGACCUCGAUUGACGAUCUCCGUCGUUCGAACAUGCCUCGACCGAAUAACGCGCAGCUCGAGAAUGCGAUCACUAAGGAUCCGCCAACUCCACCAACCUUACCGGCGUUACCACCGCUGCCACCGAACCCGCCUGCUUUGCCUGAACAACAGAAACAGAAUCGCGAUGACCGAGCACAAGAGAACCAUGCUCCCAAAGCCAGGAAACGCGUCAACAUGAUAAUGGGAGCCAUCGAGGCUUGCAGCUACUCGGUUCGAGCUAUCAAAGAAUACAGUCGACAGGCCGCUAGCGCGCCCAAAGCCCCACAAGUUCCGCCGAAAGGGACGCCUUUGGUAUUUACCGAAGCCGACACAAUCGGGUUGCAUAAACCGCAUAACGAUGCUCUCGUUGUGGAACUACUCCUCGACGAUGUCGAAGUUAGCCGCAUUCUGGUCGAUACAAGCAGUUCGGUUAACAUCAUCUUCAAGGAAGCACUUGACCAGCUCGAGUUGGCAUCAGAUAGGAUUGAGCCGUUUAUCGAGCCACUUACCGGUUUCGAUGGAGAACGCUGCAUGACGGUCGGCAUGGUCAGUAUCCCGAUCUACCUCGGCGGAGUCGCAAAGAUUAUCCAGUUCCUCAUCCUCGACAAACCGGCGAUCUACAACGCCAUUCUCGGUACGCCUUGGUUACACGCGAUGAAGGCGGUCGCCUCAACAUACCAUCAAUGCUUGAAAUUCCCGACCCCCGACGGUGUUUACACUCUCCGAGGAAACCAAGCUGUCGCUCGAUCAUGCUACAUAAAUGAGUGCAGACUUCAUUCGCCCAACCAAGCUUGUGUCGUUAGUUCGUUCGGACCAACGGACAAACUCGUCGUCCAGCAGACAAAUCCAAACGUGAAGUUCAGCGACUCACCGGACGUAUCGCAGCACUUAAUCGAUUCAUAUCCAGAUCGACGGACAAGUGCUUGCCUUUCUACCAACUUCUUCGCGGUAACAAGCACCUCGAAUGGAAUGAGAAGUGUGAAGAGGCCUUCGCCGAGCUAAAGAAAUACUUGUCCACUCCGCCAGUCUUAUCUAAGCCUGAAACCGGCGAGACACUCUAUCUUUAUAUCGCGAUUUCGGAGUUCGCAGUCAGUAGUGUACUUGUUCGAGAAGAUCGUGGCGAGCAGAAGCCAAUUUUCUACACAAGCAAAUCCCUCGAUGGAUCGGAGUAUCGUUAUCCGACUUUGGAGAAAUUCUCCUUUGCCGUAGUUAUUUCUGCAAGGAAAUUACGCCCGUAUUUCCAAUCUCACGCGAUCGUGGUCCUAACCGAUCACCCUCUUCGUACUUUCCUCCAUAGCCCAAGUCAGUCCGGACGACUCGCCAAGUGGGCCAUCGAACUCAGUGAAUACGACAUCAAAUACCGACGAAGAACUGCAACGAAGUCUCAAGUCCUAGCAGAUUUCUUGGUAGAACUUCCACCGGAGCUCGUCGAAGCUAAUCCGGUCAAACAACCCUGGAUCCUUCACCCCGACGGUUCCUCGUCCCAUAAAGGAUCCGGAGUCGGAAUCCGUCUUAAAUCACCCGAAGGAGAAGUUAUCGAGCAGUCAUUUCGACUCGGUUUCCCGGCAUCCAACAACGAAGCCGAGUACGAAGCAUUGAUUGCCGGACUACGACUUGCCAAAGGUAUCGGCGCCGAGCACAUACACGCCUACUGCGACUCUCAACUCGUGGCUAACCAGUUUCACGGCGAAUACGAGGCCAAGAACGACCGCAUGGACGCAUAUCUCAAAGUCCUUAAGGAUGUUGCUUCGGAGUUCUCUACCUUUGAGCUUACAAAGAUACCUCGAGAUGAGAAUGCAACCGCCGACGCCUUAGCCGCUCUCGCGACUAAUUCUGAUCCUGACCUUCGGCGAACUAUCCUAAUUGCAGCAAUCGAGCGACCAAGUAUCGAGCCCGCUCCGAACUGCAACAUCAUUACGAGACGACGUGAUUACGAAGCCCAACCCAAUCUCGCUCCACCCCUCACCCGGAAGACGAAACCCAAAGAGGUUGUUCCCGAUCCCAACAACGACACGGCCGAGCUCAAUGAUAACGAAUCUGAUCCCGAAGACGAAUCCAAAGGCCAGCAUGUUCCAAUCGAUAUCGAAGCCGAAGGAGAGGACGAACCCGAAGAUUGGACCUUAGAAAUCGUGGGAUACAUCGGAGACGGAACAGUUCCCGCAGAUAAAUGGGCAGCUCGGCGCCUUAAGGCUCGUGCAGCUCGAUAUGUGGUCAUUAAAGGUACUCUUCUCAGAUGGGACGCGUCCGGUGUAGUCUUGACUUGUGUUCACGGCAACGACAUCAUGGAAGUAAUGCAGAAGGUUCAUGAAGGAGACGGAGGAAAUCACUCCGGAACUCGGUCAUUGGCGUUCAAGAUCUAAAAAGCCGGCUAUUACUGGCCUACUAUGCUUUCUGACUGCGAAAAGUAUACAGCACGCUGCGAGAAGUGCCAACGUCACGGCCCGAUGAUCAAUCUUUCCAUCGAGCUCUUGAUGACUUCGACCGCUCCAUAUCCUUUCAUGCGCUGGGCAAAGGACAUCAUCGGUCCUUUUCGUCGAUCUACGACUCAGAAGCAAUAUGUUCUGGUCGUCACGGAUUACUUCACCAAAUGGGUCGAAGCCGAAGCAUACCCCGAGAUUCAUGGAAUCGAUGUCAAGAAGUUUGUCUGGAAGUUCAUAAUCUGUCGACACGGAGUCCGGUACGAGAUCGUUACUGACAACGAAACCCAAUUCACUUCGAUCAUAUUCACAGAUUUUUGCGCCAAGUGGAAAAUCCGACUAAGUUUCUCUACCCCGCGAUACCCGCAAGGAAACGGACAAGCUGAAGCCACAAACAAGACCAUUAUUGAUGGAUUGAAGAAACGACUCGAUACCGCUAAGGGAACUUGGGCGGACGAACUUGAUGGCGUCUUGUGGUCUCACCGAACUACACCACGAUGUUCGACCGGUCAGUCACCAUUCUUCCUUGCAUAUGGCACAUAAGCUAUGUGUCCAGCCGAACUCAACGUCCCAAGUAUUCGCCGAACUAUGCUUACCCAGCAACCCGACGCGAAUAACGACAUGAUGAUUGACGCACUCGACUUAGUCGAAGAACAUCGCGAACGAGCAUUGCUCCGGAUACAGAACUACCAGCAACUGGCAGCUCGCUACUACAACAAAAAGGUUAAAGGCCGUCACUUUGAAGAUGGCGAUCUCGUACUUCGCAAAGUUUAUGAAAACACAGAAGAAAAGAACGCACGAAAACUUGGUGCAAACUGGGAAGGACCAUACCAAGUCAUGAAGGUUGUUUAGCCCGGCGUUUAUCAACUCAUGAAGUUAGAUGGAACUCCAAUCCCGCGAUCUUGGAACUCAAUGCAUCUCAAACGAUACUACUACUAGUUCGUUACGAGCUUCGCAAAAAAAAAAAAAAAAAAGCCUCCGGACUACUUAGUCGGAGCAAAAAACACUUUUGUACUUACAACUACGAAUGGCUUGAUCCUUUUAAAGGGUACGUAGGCAGCUCGUUACCGAGUCCAGCUAUAACAUCAAUAUAAUUUUAUUAAGUCAAAUCUGUCUAAGUUCUAGUUCGGAAAUCACAAGGUAUCGAACUCCUUGUUCUUACAUCGACUUCCUGGCCGAAUGUUCGAUAGCAUUCCACAUGAAUGCAAACUUAAAUGCCGAGAUCCGUCUCGCGAGCACCCACAUGGUGUCGUGGUUAAGCCACAUAUCACAAGCCGGGCCCAGUCCCGCAGUUGAAUUUCUAAGUCACCAAGAACAAUAAGCCGAGCACAUCUCGCAUACUUAGGUUCGACUUUAAAAAACCUUGAACUCGUUUCGUGCGUUUACAGGAGUUCGAAUUAAUUCACUCUUCCAGUACGAAACGAUUCACUUGGGUUCCCCAGGCCGAGCUCAAAUGCUCGCACAAUAAGCCGAACUCCUCAGAUUCGCACCAUAAGCCGAGUUCACAACACUUGCAAAUCGUAAGCCGAAUUAUCGCAAUUCGCUAUCGAAAGAUAAAAAUUAUGUUCGAACAUCGUUUACUAUGUAUCGAUCUAAUACUUGACAGAUUUCUCUAAAUUACCGACGAAAUAAAGUCAAAGUUCAAAUUAGAUACCGAUUCUUCUAAAUCGUUAAGAUAAGAAAGAAGAAGAGAAACAAGCAUAUAAUUAAAAGCCUCACGAGAGGCAAAUAAGUUCAAGAACCCACCAAGGGUUCAAAAACAAAAAUAAUACAUUGAGUUCAACCCAUGAAAGGGCAAAUAAGUUCGAGAAAAAGAACAGAAAAAGAUUAGGCGGUCUUUGAGGUUGCGGCUUGAUCGGCGUUAAGUAUAUCCUCGUUCGAACCAAACUGUUCGCCCCUCGCAGGAUCUUGCGCGCUUUGGGUUACAUUCACAGCCGGCGCGUCAUCCUCAUCCGCAAAAGGAGACAUCCGCUUAUCCUCUUCAGUGAGAACGCAAGCGUCGACCAAACGAAAGUCUUCCAACGCCUUGGCAUGCUUUGCCUCGAUAUCAGCUACCAUCUCGGGCGGGACCUCGUACAAGCCCUUCUUCUUCAACUGCUUGAUGAAGCCGAGAACUCCUGUGAGCUGGUUGACCACCAAGUACGGCUUCCGAGCCCUGUCAGCGUCGUCCAAGCUCCGGAUGACCUUCUCCAAACGCUCGCAGGCCUUUGCAUGCACGCUCUUAGCUCGAGCAUUCCAGUGUGCCACCAAGUCCCUCAGUCGCUCCCGGUCUUUCUCGAACUCUUAAGAAAGCAAUGUUUGAGCCUCAGUUAGCUCGGUCCUUACCGCUUUAAGCUCAGUGCUCUCCUGCUUCAGCAGAUCAACCGAAGAGUGGAGGGUAUCGUUAAUCUGGAGCUCGGUGGCGAGACGCUCCUCAGCCUUAGCGAUUCUUUCCUCCAGCUCCGCGACCCUCACCUGCUCGUCGAAUAGAGGUACCUCGUAUACGGCGACCAGAUUGUUGGUCUGGCUGGCGAGCUGCGAGAAAAAGAAUCGAAUCAGAAUUCGCACUUAAGAAAAUAAUUGAAUAAAGAAGCGGAAUCAAGAAAUUACCACAGCAGUUGUACGGGCGAUCCCCUUGUACAUGUUUGGAAAACGGAGUUUGGGAACCGAAGGGAGGCUCGGGACCUGAGAGGAAAUUUUGUGGUAGAGUUCAGCACAAGCAUCGACGUUCUCCUCGAAAGGAGUCUCUUCGUCAUAAUCAAAACGAAGUUUAGCCCUUUUAGCCGGCUCUGGCCCUGGAGAACCCUCGGUUUGCUCUCUUUCUUGCCUUUUCCGAGAAUGAGAGGCUUCGGCUCGAUCCUGGGGCAGAGCAAGGUCCGACAUCACAGCAGUCGGCGGUUCGAACUCCUCAGCGGCAUCCGCCCGGAAAGAAUUUUCGAUCUUCUUAGUCUUCUUCGAAGACUUCUUCUUCUUCAGCUUCUUCUGACCAGCUUGGUCAGGGGAGUUCGCAACCGGCGGUAGUUCUUCAGGCUGCUCCUCGGUCACUGUUGCAGCAAGGACGGGGAUCGGGGCCGCGUCGUUCGGUUCCUCUUCAUCGAAGAGAGUAGGGAUCUCGUCCAAUGAGAGCAUCCUAGCGGUUCGGGUACGUUGAGCUCGUGGUUUUGGUGCUUUGCGUCUUGGAACAGCUCGGGGCUUGUUAGCUCGAGCUUUUGGCUUCCGCGGUUUCGGUUCUCGGACGGAAGCUGCAGUGAAAAUAUGUCAAGGAGGAGUUCGGAAUAAACUUGAAAGUAAGAGUGAGAAAGUAAGCUCGGUAAUCCAAACUGAUUUCUUAGCUCGACGCUGAAGAAUUUCCUCCCAAACUUCAGGCCAACGACGCUUACCGGCUUCACUGAAGGCUUCUUCGAACUCGGAUGUAAGACCGGAGUUGAGAAUGAUACUUGGGAGAUGACGACCUGCGAAAGAUAUAACGAAAGAAAGUUAGUCGAAGGCAAAAUCAAAAUUUAGCUAAGUAUGAGAUCAUUUAAAUCUACCAAUCAGGAUCUUCCACUCCGAUUGAGUGGGGAUGUCAGAGUUGGUGACGGUGAGAUCGUUCAUCUCGAGAUAAAAAUAUAGAGACUCCCAGUCGUUGAAUUUACUGGGUUUAGGCCCAGUAACUAUGUUCUUCUUCGGUUUGGCGUUCGCAGCGAAGAACCACUCCUUGGAUUUGUGGAUGUUCACCGAAAAGAGAUCCUCGAACAGCCGAUUGGUUGGAAUCUCACCGAGCUCUUCGCAUAAGGAGACGAACCCUAUAGUUUGUUAUAGAAGCCGGCAUCACCUGCGUGAGAGCUACGCCUCACCGAUUGCAGUACCCGAGCAGACGGGAGGAAAUUGGAAGCGAAAGCCCGCAUUGUGUGAAAUAGGUCAGGUAUAUGCAGAGGAAGCCUUCGGGGACGUCCCAUGGCCGAUCUCCGGCUUCAGGAAUUAUGAAAGCAAUUUGAUCCGAGAGCCCAUUUUAUUCGAGCACGGCCUGAAUAGCACCCGAAGUAACCGAGGAAGACGGCACGUUGUUAGGACGAACGACCCUUCGUCUUGGAAGCGGUGGUGAAGCAUGGUUCACCGCUUCAAGGUUGUCUUCGGCAACUUCGGCCUCAGUGGCGUCCUCCUCCUGAUUUUCUUCUUCGGCCUCCUCGAACUCAUCGAUCUCAUGAUUAUUACCGCCAGCGUUCGGCCCUGUCCGAGCCUCCGUUUCGCGAGUCUCUGUAGUCAGACGCUCGGUGGCUUCAACUCUAGAUCUAGCACGGCUGCUGCUAGCUUCCACCGAUUUGGAAUUCUUACGAACUAACUGUGGAGGAUUGCUCUCUUCCUAAGACGAACUCGAUUGAUGAGGAUUUGAAGAAGAAGAGCUCGGCUCCGAGGGUUCGCGGCGAUCCUCCGGAAGGAUUUGAUUGGAAGAAGAGUUAAUGGAAGAACUAGAAGACAUUUUGAGUUCGGAAAAGAAGAGUCGAAAGAGAUCUAAGAAGAUUGAAGAGCAGUUUGAAGAUCAACCGGAAAAGAUUGAAGAUUGAUCAGAGAACUUGAAGAUCGAACGGAAAACUGGAAGAUAGAUCGGAAAAAUCAAGGAUUCGCGGCGGCGAAAGUUGAAGAAAUGAGAGAAAAUUACAAAUGAAAACUAGAGAGAGAAACAAAAUCUAGAGAGAAGGGAGAGCAGCAUACCUUAUAUAUGCUUGAGCGAGAGUAAUGAAUGUGAAGAGGAGUUUUCCCUUUAUAAACAGUGGGAAUCGUGGGUUCCUCGAUUUUCGCAAAGAUCCCGUAAUUCACGCGCCUCAUUGAAGACAGGGUGCGAAACGUCCGGGAAUACGAAUCGACUGCAGUUACCGAUCUCUGUUUGUGACCUACUUUAAAUCAAAUGAGUUCGACUAAAAAGUCAUUCCCUUUCAUCGAACUGAGGGGGGGGGCUAACUGUUGGAGGUGAAAACCGCACCCCGGUUUUCUCCGGUACAAACCGAGAUCGACGAAAUGUAAGCCCGGUUUACGAGGGAAUGUACCGAGAAAGAUGGGCCAAGUGAAACAUUGGGCCGAACACAGCCCAUUAGGCCGAGGUCGGUGAGAAGCCUCUCGAAGGAAUGGAAGGUUUCCCUGAGCUCGGUCUUAAGAUAUUCCCGAGAAAAUGGAAACUUCGAAGAGAAAAGGAAAGGAACCGAGAGAAAAGGAAAAUCCUCUCGGUCCCAUAUCGCUUAAGACGUGCUUGAAGACCGACUGAGAGGAUAUAUAUAAAGGGAGACGAAUCGACACCAGAGAACACAAGAUAUUCCCGAGAAGACUUAGCGACUGAGAACUCAAAACGUUAGACUCUUAGUUGCAUUAAGUCUUAGUUCGUUAUUGUCCAUCUAAAUAACCGAACUCAGUUGUAUUUGCUUGAUUCGAUCUAAUAAAAUCCAAGUUUCCGAUCUAAAGUACUGUUUUGUCCCUUGUCGAUAUUCACAUAUCAACAGGACCCUUCUAUGUUGAAACAGUCGAUGGUUAUAGAUAUUUUUUUACAGUUGUUGAUGACCAUUCAAGAGCUACAUGGGUUUUUCUGAUGCAUACAAAAUCUGAAGUGUUAACAGUGUUUCCUGCAUUCAUAGAACAAGUUGAAAAGCAGUAUGGAAAACGAGUUAAUGCAGUCAAUCAGAUAAUGCACCUGAAUUAAAAUUUGAAGCUCUGUAUAAAACAAAAGGUAUCAUCUCCUACCAGUCAUGUCCCGAGACGCCUGAGCAAAAUUCAGUGGUGGAAAGAAAACACCAACAUAUCCUUAAUAUUUCCCGAGCUCUGAUGUUUCAAUCCGGUGUUCCUCUUUCAUUGUGGGAAGACUGCAUUUUAACAGCUGUGUUCUUGAUCAAUAGGACACCAUCUCAGCUUCUUAUAAACAAGACUCCACUCGAGAUUUUGAUGGGUAAAAGUCCGAAUUAUGAACAUAUCAGGACAUUUAGUUGUCUAUGUUAUGGUUCAACAUCACCAAAGCAAAGACACAAAUUCCAACCUCAAGCUCGAGCAUGUUUAUUUUAGGGAUAUCCAGCAGGCCAUAAAAGGUAUAAACUAAUGGAUUUGGAGAGUAAUACACUGUUCAUAUCCAGAAAUGUGGAAUUCCAUGAAGAAGUAUUCCCUUUGCUUAAGAAUUCAUCAUCAGAACAAACAUUGGAUUUCUUUGAGUCGCGAGAAUCUUUGCCAUCAAGUAUCACCACUCCUUCUUCUCUUAUUUCUAAACAAAUUUCUACUCCUUCCAAUGAAUCACCAAAUCUACCUUUAGACACCAGACCUAGAAAACUCUCUGCCCAUUUACAAGAUUACCAUUGCUUUUCUUUGCAAUCGGAUCUCACUUACCCUAUUUCAUCCUAUGUUUCUUACUCAAAGACUUCCCCUGCACAUUUAUCAUAUAUCAACACAAUCACCAAGAUUCCGGUUCCUCAUUCAUACUCUGAGGCAAAGAAUUCAAAAGAAUAGUGUGAAUCUGUUGACAAAGAGUUUGGUGCAAUCGAAUCUACUCAAACUUGGAAAAUUUACCACUUUACUACCAGAAAAAAAGUAGUUGGUUGUAAGUGGGUCUUCAAAGUGAAGUUUCAUGCUGAUGGAACUCUGGAGAGAUACAAGCUCAGUUAGUGGCUAAGGGGUAUACUAAAAAAAGGGUUUGGAUUAUAAGGAAACCUUUUCUCUAGUGGCGAAGCUCAGUACAGUCAAACUUUUGCUGAAAUUACCGGCUUCUAAACAUUGGUUCCUUUCACAAUUGGAUGUCUCUAACGCCUUCCUGAAUGGUGAUUUAGAGGAAGAAGUUUUUAUGAAAAUGCCUGAUGGUUAUGCUGAGAGACAGGGGGACUCUUUAGCAAAGAAUGCAGUUCUAAGACUCAAGAAAUCUAUAUAUGGUCUUAAACAUGAAUCAAGACAAUGGUAUAAGAAGUUUUUUGUUGCUCUUCUCAAUUUGGGGUUUGCUAAAGGAGAUGGUGAUCACACUUUGUUUGUGAAAGAGUUUGAUCAUGGAGAUACCCUUGCAGUACUGGUUUAUGUCUAUGAUAUUAUCAUUGUCAGUACUAAUGAAGACAAUGCGGCUAAGUUGACUAGGCAGUUCAGCGAUGUUUCAAGCUGCGAGAUCUUGGUGUUUUGAAAUACUUCUCGGGUUUGGAGGUUGCACGGACUGAACUUGGCAUUUCUUUGUGUCAACGCAAGUAUGCUUUGGAGAUUUUAUCCACAACUUUCUCCCACACCUAUGAUUCCUAAUCUUAAGUUUUCUAAACAUGAUGGUGAUCUACUUGAGAAUAUAGAAACAUAUCGUAGCUUGGUGGGCAGAUUGAUGUAUUUGACCAUCACGUGUCCAGAAAUUUGUUUUGGAGUUAAUAAACUGUGUCAAUACUCAUCUGCACCUCGCACUUCUCAUCUGAAAGCUGUCUACAGAGUACAUCGGUACAUUAAAGGGACAACUGGUCAGGGAUUAUUUUACUCUUCAGAUCCAGAUCUUACCUUAAAGGGAUUCGCAGAUUCAGAUUGGACUGCUUGUUUGGACAGUAGGAGAUCCACAACAGGUCUUUGUAUGUUUCUUGGAUCUUCUCUGAUUUCAACAUGACAUUGUAUCUUGUUCUACUGCAGAAGCUGAGUACCAUGCUCUAUCUUUGGCCUCCCAAGAGAUGGUUUGGAUGAAGAAAUUGUUGCAUGAUCUGAAGAUACCUGUUCCUGUGCCUAUCCUCUUCUCAUAUAGUACUGCAGCGAUUUCCAUAGCCAUAAAUCCAGUGUUUCACGAGAGAAGAAAAACACAUAGAAACGGAUUGUAUUCAGUUCGAGAAUGUUUGGAUCGAGGUGAGCUUAAGACCAUGCAUGUUCGGACUGAAGAUCAGGUGGCGGGCAUACUCACAAAACCAUUGUUUCCACACCAGUUCAACCAUUUUAAGUCCAAGGUGAGUCCUCUCAAUAUCUUCGGAAGCUCAUCUUGAGGGGGAUUAUUGGUUUAUACAAGGUUUGGUUUAAGUUGGUACACUAUCAGGUUUAAUUAAAUCAUGUAUAUUGUAAGUAGAGUAUACAGUUACAUGUAUAUAGCAAUUGUACAGAUACAAUUUUGAAAUCAGAAUGAGAAAAUAUAUUUUCUAACAAAAUCUUCUUCUUCAUUGAGCUCUCGUUCUCUUUCGCUAAUAUCCCAUGGUCGUGAUUUUUCCUUUCGUACUGUCUACUUUCUAUAAACCAUUAACUUAUAUGUUUAGUUCAUAUUACAUCCUAAAAGUUACCAGAUUGACUCACCAUUUUGUGUGUAAAAAAUGGUGCAAUUUCAUCUGUGAAAGGAACUGAGUGGAGGCCAUAAGAUUUUAAAUGGUAUGGGAAACAAAGAUGUGAAGACCGAGACAACAUCUUAGUAUUUAAUGACUUUGACAAUGCGUCAGUUUGUGUAUGUUUUUGUGUUCAUACUUUCUUAACUAUUUAGCAAUUGUAAUAAUAUCCAUUCAUUGCAUGAUCCAUAACAAGAAAAGAAUUCAACAAACCACGAAGAACAAUUAAAUUCUUUUUGUUACAGUUAUAUAAACAAGCAAUUAUGAAUAAAAUUAUUGAUAGAGUUUUCAUAAAAGUUUUAAAACGAAAUAUUAUAUAUUGAAUAACAUUUAAACAAUAGUAAUCGGCUUCUGUUUAUAUAUAUAUAUAUAUAUAUAUUGUUUUUUUUAGGAAAGACUUAAUGUUACGAAUCUUUGAGUCUAUUAAUCUUCAACUCAACAGUGCCAUUGAAGAUGUUGAAACACUAACAUUAAAACACCAGUCAUGGUUGGUAGCUUUCUUUUUCUUUAUCUGGUUCUAUAAAACACUAUCUUCAACAUAAACUCAAAUACAACAAAGGAGUCACAAUCAAUCCGCAAGAUAUGUGGGUUGAGUCUCUGAGGGUAUUGAUAGAGGAAGUGUUGGAAAAAUCAUAUCAAUUCCUUUGCUUUCAAGAGUGUUCAAUGAGUUUGUAUGUAUUGAGUAUGGUGGAAGAUGGCAUUAUUAAAUGACUCACUUGCAUUCAAUUUUAUCAAAAAAUUACAUGGAGUAUUUGUGAACACGAAUCAAUUUUAUGUUUUUCUUUUUAUAAAAUAUCCAUUUAGAUUUUCAGUUUAGUAUAAAUUAAUAAAAAAGCCCAUAAAAAUAUCAAAACAUAUAUAAAUAAUUUUACAUCCUCUUUAUUAAGCAUUUGUAACGUGCCGGCCGUAAGCUAGUAAUAGAUUAUUCAUGUCAAAUAUUCUAAGUUCAAAAUAUAUAAGAAAUUAUGACUGCUAACCUAAUUGAUCAUGAUGAAAUUGAAGACUAUAAUACUAUACAAUACAUUUGGAACAAUCAUUUACUUGAGAUAUUGACAGUUAUCAUCAUCUCUAGAAUCGUUCACAACUUUUACAUGAGAUUGAGAAGACAGUAGUCAAGACUGAUAAAAUUAUGAGAAAAAUAUUUAAAUCAUAGUGUUGCACAAAUAUAGUUUGGUGAUAUGAGAUCGAUAAGAUAAUUCAGAUCAAUCUUAUGGACACUAAUAUAGUUUUGGUGAUAUUAAUACCAGAUGAUUUCAUGUAAACCGGAGUGAACCGGGUUGUUAGUUGUUCGUAUACAAAAGUCUAUAUGUAACAACAUUUCACAAUUCAAUCAAUAACAGAAAGAUUUUUAGUCUCAUUUCUUCGUCUUCUUCCUCUCGAUCCUUGUUCGCUGACAUGGUAUCAGAGCUCUUGAGUCUCGAAACUCAAGUGAUCUCUUCGUUUUCUUUUAUUCCGCUUAUUUCUGACCUAAAUUGAUCGUUUGAUCUCACGAUGAUUGAUUAAACUGUUCACUUGAACUGUCAUCAGUUUAAUCAUUGUCAUGAAUAAACUCUCUCCCUCUCUUCUCUCUUCACCAUUACACUAGGGAACUCUGUUUUGCUGAGGAAGAAAUUGGAAAGUAGGAAGAGAAACAAAAGCGAGGGAAAAUGCAAAGUCUCGAGGAAUUUAAUGCCCUUGAGGAAGAAAUCACGGCUUUAAAGGAAAAACCCAAGAAACUGUAGGAAGUAAAUUUAGAGGAGACAAAUAUUGCAAUGUAAGGAAACAAUUUGAGACACAGAAAAGCGUUUUAUAAAAGCGGAUUAAGGAAAGUGAAAAGUGGAGGCGAGAUAAUCUCUUUUCUUAAUUCAAAUAUCUCCUGCAGUGUGGUGGGUGGAUGACAUAAUGAAUCUCAGGAUACAACCACUGAUAUUCGUAUAAUCGCAGCACCCGAUUAUAGAACGUGACGAACUUAAAAUUCUACGAUAUACUCUCGGACACUUACUCUUGAAAGAAGAAAAGAGAUGCGAGAGAUUGAAGGAUGUGUGAAGAAAUUUUGUGAGCAAAGAGCGAUAGAAAAAUGACAGAGGAGAGGUCGAUAUAUAAAGCGAAGGAGAGAGGAGCGUCGCACUUAAUAAGCGUGAUAAUGACGUGAUUAAUUUUACGUUAAUGACGCAAAUUGGGCGUUAAUCUUGGCGUGAUUUUCGGGAUAGACAUUUGACUGCAGUUUAAUGUUGUAAUUCUGUAAGAAUUUGAACCGAAAACUUUAACAAUUUGGGCCAGAAAUGUUGACCAAAACAUGGCCCAAAAAGAACAUCUUUUGUGGGCCAAAGGCCCACAUUCACCAAGACCCAAGACCCAAGAUCCCAGCUCGAGCCCCGCUCGGCUCAGCGGCGGCGGCGGCGCACAAGGGAUCCUUGGUUCUCCUUCACACACUUUAAACUAUGUCAUGUGUGUGUCUAUAUUUAUAUGACUCUAAAUUUUUUCAAUCCUCCAAUGUGGGACAAAAUGAUGUUCCUCACAUUUUAAGUUGCCUUAAAAGGCUUUAUUUGUAUUCACACUUUAACCAAAAAUACAAGCUUGUGGGUUUUGUAAUUAUUGGAUCCAACAAUUCCCCACAUGAAUAGAAAUAACUCUAGACAUACGACUGGGCUGAGUCGAAAACUUGACUAGACUUGACUAGACUCGACGGACUUUCGAGAGUAUAAACGAAAAUUCCACUGUGUUUGAGAUAGUAGUAUGUUUCAACCUUGAACCACUCAAUGUUAAUAUCUGUCGGGCUUACUCAGCCAGGAGGUGAACAUGAUGUCUUGAACCACCCGGAUUUUGAUGUAAACCGAGAAAACAAAUACAUCUCAAUUUCAUUUUAUCGUAGAACUAAGUUCUCUAUUGUGUUCAUUUUGGCCUUGAACUGGCCUGAUGAAUCAUGAGUGAAGUUGGAGAAUAUAGCCUUUUUUCUUUUCAUUCUCCUAGAAACGGCCCCAUUUCACACUCACUAGGUGAUUUUACCAAUAGUCUUUAUUUUAAGAAGUGUUGUACUUCACUGAUAUAUCAAAGCUAUGGUCUUAUCGUUAAAAGCUAUGCUUAUCCUUUGUAAAUAUACAAUGAAAAUUGUAUGUAAGCACUGUCAAUCAUCUUGGGACGUAGGAUAAGACUAUACGUCUUUCAGUGCGUUAGAUUUUGUUUGAUUUAGUUUUCCCUUUUGAAUCUUACAUCUUGGGAUCUCCAGUCAUGUAGGUGGGGUGUCCAUCAAACAACCUCUUUAGUCAUAGGCUUUAAACCCAUUCCCUUUGAUGAUUUGAGAACUUGAUCACGAGCUAGACCCUUAGUGAAUGGAUCUGCUAGAUUAUCAGCUGAUUUUAUGUAAUCUAGUGAGAUUACUUCGGUUGUGAUCAAGCUUUUAAUGGUUUUAUGUCGCCUUCUUAUGUGACGAGAUUUACCAUUAUAGAGAUUAUUCAGUGCCCGGGCGAUAGCUGAUUGACUAUCACAGUGUACACGUAUUACCGGGACUGGUUUCUCCAACAUUGGAAUAUCUUCCAAGAAAUUUCGUAGCCAGUUUAUCUAAAGCUAUAAAUUCAGACUCCAUGGUUGAUCGGGCCAGUAGAGUUUGUUUGGAAGACUUCCAAAAGACUGCUGCAGCACUUAGAGUGAAAACAUAUCCACUUGUAGAUUUCGAGUUUUUGGUGUCAGAUAUCCAGUUUGCAUCACUGUAUCUUUCCAAAACUGCUGGUUCUCUUCCAUAGUGCAGCCCAUAACUUUUAAUGUAUCGGAUGUACUUUAAUACUCUAGUUAUGGCUUUCCAGUGUUUGUGUCCUGGAUUACUUGUAUAGCGACUUAGUACAUUUACUGCGUGUGCUAGAUCAGAUCUAGUACAAUUAGUUAAGUACAUAAGGCUACCAAUUAUCCUUGCAUACUCUACUUGUGACACUGCUUCACUUGGGUUUUUGGUCAAGUGAAGUUGAGAGUCAACUAGAGUUUUUGCAGUUCCAUUUGAAUAGGUUUUAAACCGUUCAAGUAUAUUUUCAGCAUAAUGGGAUUGAGACAAGGUAAUCCCAUCAGAAGUUCUUGUGAUUUGUACCCCGAGAAUGACAUCUGCUAGACCCAUGUCUUUCAUGUCAAACUGUGCACUAAGCAUGUUUUUAGUUUGAUGGAUUUUGCUGCCAAUAAUUAACAUGUCAUCUACAUAUAAACAUAGUAAGAUAUAUCCAUUAGGGGUCGUCUUUAUGUAAAUGCAUUUAUCACAUUCGUUAAUGCUGAAGCCAUCUAACAUCAUUGCAUUGUCAAAUUUUUCAUGCCAUUGUUUUGGUGCUUGUUUAAGUCCAUACAAAGACUUCACAAGUGUACAGACUUUGUGUUCUUGUCCCGGGACUACAAAUCCUUCGGGUUGUUUCAUAUAGAUUUCCUCGUCUAAUUCACCGUUUAGAAAGGCUGUUUUGACAUCCAUCUGGUGGAUUUCCAAAUUUCUUAAGGCUGCAAUUCCAAUCAGCAUUCUGAUGGAAGUUAUACUCGUUACUGGAGAAUAAGUGUCAAAGAAAUCCAGACCUUCUUUUUGUCGGAAUCCAUGCACUACAAAUCUAGCCUUAUAUAUCAACUGAGCCAUCGGUCUUUAAUUUUGUUUUGAAGAUCCAUUUUCACCCUAGAGCUUUAAACCCUUCAGGUAACUCAGUGAUUUCAUAAGUAUGAUUUUGUCUAAUGGAAUCCAUCUCACUAUUGACUGCUUCCUCCCAAAGAGGUGCAUCGGGAGUGGACAUAGCUUCAGUAAAUGUUCUUUGUUCGUUCUCGGUGAAAAAGACCAUCAAAAAUUCAGGACCGAAGGAUUUUUCUUUACAAGCUCUUUUGCUGCGUCUAGGUUCAAUCUCUUCGUCUUCUGAAGCUGGAACCCCAGAUGUGGUUGCCUCAUCUUCCCGAGGACGUUUUAGAUUUUGUCUAUCCUUGCACGAGAAAAUGUGUUCAAAACAUGAAACAUUUCUUGAUUCCAUUAUAGUAUUCACCUGAAUAUACGGUUCAUCUGAUUUAUGAACCAGAAACCGAUAAACACUACUGUUGCGACAAUGAAAAUACAAUCAACAGUUUUUGGUCCUAUGGUGACCUUUUUAGGAGGUGGCACAGCAACCUUUGCUAGGCACCCCCACACUUUCAGGUAUUUGUACGAAGGUACUCUACCUGUCUAUAGUUCAUAUGGCGUUUUGCCAGUUAUUUUGUGCGGUAUUUUGUUGAGGAUAUAUUUUGUAGUGAGAAUUGCUUCCCCCCACAGAUUCUGGGGUAGCCGAGAUUCCUGCAACAUUGCAUUCAUCAUCUCUUUAAGAAUUCGUUUUUUGCAUUCCGCAACUCCAUUAGAUUCUGGUGAGUAGGGAGCGGUGGUCUGAUGUAUAAUGCCUUUUUCUAGACAGAAAACAUUGAAUAGACCAUCAUAUUCGCCUCCUCUAUCACUCCUAACAAUUUUAAUAGUUUUACCGAGUUGAUUUUCAACUUCGGUUUUAUAUUCUUUGAAUAUCUCCAAGACUUCAUCUUUACUUCUUAGUAAAUAAAUGUAACAGUAUCUUGUACAAUCAUCAAUGAAAGUUACAAAAUACUUUUUACCUCCUCUAGAUGGUACUAACUUUAAGUCACACAAAUCUGUGUGUAUGAGGCCUAGAGGUUCGGUAGUUCGAUCGACAUGAGGAGAUGGAGUUUUUGUGAGUUUUUCUUGUACACAUGUCUCACAUUUAUUUUUGCCUAUUUUGCAUUUGGGGAUUAAGUUCGAAUUUAUUAAUCUUUGUAUAGAUUUAUAAUUCAUAUGUCCUAAUCGUUCAUGCCAUAAAUCAAAAGACUCAACCAAGUAAAAAGAUUCAUUCUUAUUAAUUGAACUGGUAGAAGGUACAUCAUUUUUGAGGACAGUCAUUACACACAUUUUGAUUAAGUCCUCUUUAACAUAACCCUUCCCAAUAAAGAUCCCAUGUUUCCUUAAAAUCAGCUUGUUAGAUCCAAUGCGGACGUCGAAUCCGUGCUUGUUGAUCAUGGUUCCAGAGAUCAGGUUUUUCCUCAUUUUUGGCACAUGCUUCACAUUAGUGAGGGUGACUUCUUUGCCCGAAGUCAUCUUUAAGACCACAUUGCCUAUGCCUUCAAUCUUGGAGUAGAACUCAUUUCCCAUCAACAAGUGUGCAUUGUCCUUGCAUUUCUUGUAGGUUGAGAACUGGUCUUUGUCCAUGCAGAUGGGAGUGGUUGCACCAGUAUCAUACCACCACGUUUUUGGGUUUGGCUCAACUAUGUUGACUUCUAUGACCAUCGCACACAUAUCAGCUUGAGUCAAGUUGGCUUGGCCUUUGUUGUCUCUCAGCCUACUUCGACAUUCAUUGGAGGUGUGUCCCUUCUUGUUGCAAUAUGUGCAUUUCCCAACAAAUUUGGUUUUGGGAGUUUCCUUUUUGAAGGAAGUGGAUGAUGAUGGAGCACACUUGUUUUGCCUUCCUUUGGGAGGAAAUUUCCCGUUGCCUUUGACUUUCUCUUUUCCCUUGUUCUUGAACUCUGCUACAUUUGUAUUGUAGGAGUGAAAUGGUUCAGGGUUGACAGGCGCGGCAGCUUUUACCUCUUGUUUCAAAGACUCAUUUUGCAGCCCGGAAAUCAGAUUUGACAAGGUCAUAGACUUCUGCUUAUGAUCUAGAUAGUUUCUGAAGUCUACCCAGCUAGGAGGUAGCUUGUCGACGAAGCAAUUCACUAUGAAGGUUUCACAGAUCUUCAUUCCUUCAUCAGCGAUUUCUUGACAAAUCAUCUGAAGUUCAUGGACUUGUUCCAUGAUGGGCCUUGAGUCCACCAUCAUGUACCUCGUAAAUUUGGAGGUUGCAUACCUUCCAGAGGAUACAUUGAAAGUCUUGUACUUCUUAUCCAAAGCUUCCCAGAGAUCCUUGGAUGACUAGAUUUCGCAAUACACGUUGAACAAUAGGUCAACCAAGCGGCUCUGAAUGUAGCCUUUGCAAAGGAAGUCCCCAUGGACCCAUGCUCCGACGCUUGCAACAGCACGCACAUCAGUAUUCCCAGCGGGCAAAGCAGGUUUGUCCUUGGUGAGAUACCUAUCCAAAUGCAGUGUGCACAUGUGCAUCUUUUGCUGCCACUGUUUGAAGUUGGUACCAUCAAACUUAUCCGGGAGAUACCUGCAGCGAUAGCGCUGGGUAAAGUCGGAAUGUUUGUGGGCAGGGAUCCGAGUGCUGCAUCUCCAACCGCUAUGGGUGUUGAUUCAGCGACAUACUCUUGUCUUCCAUCCACGAAUUUCUCCACGUUUUUCGACAUCUGUUCCAAAAAAAGAGACAAAAAAUGUCAGAUUCGUUGAAUAGAAUCGAUAGACUAGCAAUCAACAAUACAAGUCGCUAAUUUAUGCGUUCAGCGGAAACGCUAUAGAGCGGUCGUAGAAUCGCGUUUGAGUUUUGAACUCGAAAAAAUGUUCACGGUUGUAACCAAGACGAUUUACAGACGCGGAAAGGAAGUUAUGAAAACUGUCCUUGUGUGGUCCAAAAAUGUUUCGCGUAACUUGCCAAAGGCCUUCGCGGAAACCGUUUGUGUUUGUAAAAAAUAAAUCAUUUUUUUUCCUUAAAACGUUUUCUGAAAAUCGUUUGUAAAGCAAUAUAGGAUCUGAUUCAAGCGGUAAGCAGGAUCUGAUUAUUUUGAAUUAAGACUGUAGAAAGAAAAUUUAGAGGAGACAAAUAUUGCAAUGUAAGAAAACAAUUUGAGACACAAAAAAGCGUUUUAUAAAAGCGGUUAAGGAAACGAGAAGUGGAGGCGAGAUGAUCUUUUUUUAAAAUUCAAAUUAUCUCCCGCAGUGUGGCGGUUGGAUGAGAUAAUGAAUCCCAAGAUACAACCACUGAUAUUCAUAUAAUCGCAGCACCCAAUUAUAGAAUGUGACGAACUUAAAAUUCUACGAUAUACUCACGGACACUUACUCUUGAUGAAGAGCAGAGAGAGAUAGAUUGAAAAAUGAGAGAGGAGAGGUCGAUAUAUAUAGCGAAGGAGAGAGGAGUGUUGCACUUAAUCAGCGUGAUAAUGACGUGAUUUAUUUUUGUGUUAAUGAUGCGAUUUGGGCGUUAAUCUUGGCGUGAUUUUCGGGAUAGACAUUUGACUGUAGUUUAAUGUCGUGAUUCUGUAAGAAUUUGAACCGAAAACUUUAACAAUUUGGGCCAGAAAUGUUGACCAAAACGUGGCCCAAAAAGAGACCCAAGACCAAGGAGCUCGGCGGUGGCGGCGGCGGCGCGCGAGAGGUUUUUGGUUCUCCUUCACACACUUUGAACUAUGUUAUGUGUGUGUCUAUAUUUAUAUGACUCUAAAUUUUUUCAAUCCUUCAAUGUGGGACAAAAUAAUGUUCUUUACAUUUUAAGUUGCCUUAAAAGGCUUUAUUUGUAUUCACACUUUAACCAAAAAUAUAAGUUUGUAGGCUUUGUAAUUAUUGGGUCCAACAGAAACUAGAUUGUGAAACAAAAAUGAAAAAAAAAACAAAAUGCGGCACUAGCUGAAACAGAGGCUCUGAGAAAACAACCUGAUGGAUUCAUUCUAGAGUAUCACUGAGAGAAAGAAGACUAAAAAUAAAGCAAUCUCUUUUUAAAACAGAGCAACCAAAAAGGUGAAAUUAAGAUCGACGGGUCUCUAAGCUUACUUGACGGGCAAGGCAAGUUAUACACCUAAUGUUCCAUUUCUGCAUCUCAUUUUGUACUCAGAGGGGGAUAGAAUCAAACUAAAGAAUGAGCGAAAAUUAUAAGAAACAAAAACAUCAUAAAGUUUUAUAAAUUAAGUGUCAUUCUAAGGGAAAACAAAAUUGUUACAAAGACAUACUCUCAAUGUGAUUCGGGAAAGCAUAGAUCUGGUACAUAUUGUUUUCACCUCCAUGGUCAUCUGCGAUUCCUUUCAACUCAAAUCUUCUAUAGCUGUCUGUGAUUCCUUUCAACUCAAAUCUUCUAUAGCUGUUUCUGACAGGAUCACAAAGUAAAAUCUCAAACGGUUUAUGAAACUUGUCUGGUAAAUAAAUAAGCUCACCGGCCUGAGUGCAACCUCUUAGCUUGAAAGUUCUCAAGCUCGGAUCAUGGUAACUUAAAGGUGAAUGAAAGUUUUGACAUGACCACUUGUGUUUCUCUGCAUCCACCAAUAUCCACAGUCUUCCUCCAUUACUGUUAUCCAUACAAGCUAACCUCCCCCGAUAAUUUAUCAGCUUAUCACUAUAAAUAUCGGUUACAAAAGAAAUAACGGAUGGUAGUCCUAUCGUGUCCAAUGUUUCAGAUCUGACAUCAAAGCUCAUUAAAACAAACUCAUGCGUCUUGCCUUUAGUGGCCAGAUAGUAUAUAACCCCUUUGAUGCAUCUCCCAGCAUUAGUAUAACCCUAAGGACGAUGCUUAUUAUGGUAAGUUUUGACCUUUUUCCAUGAUACUUGAGCUGAUCCCAGUGUUAAAACUCGGCACUCGUAGCAAGUUUUUUUAUAGGGAACGCACAAUACUUUAUAUUUACCUUCGAUUGGAUCGUGUCCUAGAAACAGGCCCGUUCCUAUGUGGAAAGAAAAGAAACAUUGGCCUAUGACCCAGUUUUUUUUUUUAAAAAGACAAGAGUGUCCAAUUUAAUCCUAAUUAUUAACAUUAUAAGUUAUUAUAAUUUGAAGAGUCUAGAUUUAGUUUCAAAAACACACAAAUUAUAAACUAAAAUUAACAACACAAUAAAUAUUAGAAAAACAUACAUAGCAUCCUAAACAACUAGACAAACUAAACUUUUUUAUAGGAAAUUAUCUUUUCAAACUCUCCAUUUUUGUUUAAGUUUUGAAACUUCUUACUUCUUUUUCUUCUUACUGAACAAUCACAUAAUCAAAAGGUAUUUGCUCAUUAUUAAGUUUUUGUCAUUUAAUUUUGUUUCAUAUAGUAUCAGAUUUAGUUUGAUUUGUAAUUGGUUACUUUUUAUUUAUUUUGUUUAGAAUGAUGAUUGUUAUUACUGGUUUUAAAGAAAAUUUAAGAAAAAGACAACUUUUUUUAUGUAUGAAUUGGAUAGGUUUUAUAUGAAUAUGGGAUAAAUAUGGUUAAUUAGGGUUUUUUUAAAAAAAAGUUUCUAAAGAGUCUUUUUUUUUAACACCGCUUAUGGACUUCAUAUUUCUGGGCACGGCUCUGUCUAGAAACACUAUUACUCUGACCUUACGCCAUGGUUUGGGUAAAGUUAAAAAUUGUCUCUUGCUAGGGUUCCAUAUUAUAGGCUUUCUUGAUUCUUGAGAGCAUAUCAAGCCGUGCACAGAUUGCCUAGAGCAGAAGUAACUAUAAUCUCUUGGGAAUUUCAUAUGAUGAAGAUCAAUAGGUUUAAAAGAAGAGUUAGACCUGUUAGAGAUCUGAGUAUGUUCUGGAAUCGAGUAAACAAGCACGCUGUCAUUUUUUCUGAUGCAGAGUAGAAGAUUCGGCUGCUGCAGGGACCUGGUUUCAUGCAGGUUGAUAAAAUAUGGAUCGGUGGUGAUUGAUGACCAAAGCUUCUACACGCAACGAAACCUCCCAACAGAUUUCUCAGGUAGCCUUGAGAGUAUCUCUGAGGUUAGAUCGAGAGGAAAGGACCUCCUUGAUUUCUUCGAUUGUUGCUCCAUCCUAAUUUGUCAAAGCCCUAAUUUGUUCAAGCUGCCUUGCUAUCUACCUUCUAUUUCUAUACGUCAUAAGCUCCAGUUUUUUUACUUACUAUUUUUGUUUUUUAAUUGUUUUUUUUUUUGGUGGGAGCAAACGUGACCGACCCACGUAGGCACGUAUUGGGCUUGAAGUUGAGCGUCAUCCUUUGGAGAAAUUUACAUUGCUGCUUUUAGUUUUCUUUUUGAGCACAAGUCUAUAAAAUAAUUUAUAGUUUUUUCUGUUAAAUUUAUAGGAGAAUUAACAAUUUAUAGUAACGAAUAAUGUGUUGUGAAUAAAAAAGAAAGAAAAGAAGAGAAAAAUUGUUAUGUUUUAUUUUAUAAAUAAUGAUAGGUAUUUAUAAUAUUACAAAGACUUGGAGAGAAAGCUAAAAUCUAGAGAAUAAGGAAAUAGAGAAUAUUCUAAAUCUCCUCUAAUAGUGAGCUUUAUAAUGGGCAUCUACAUAAUUAUUUAUAACACUUCCCUUGGAUGUUCAUGAUAAUGUAAUAGUAGUAAAGCGUCUAAAAUGCUGCCUCAUUAAAAACUUUACUAGGAAAACCCAAUAGAAAAACCAUGGUUAAAGGAAAAAGAGUGCAACACGCUAUUACUCCCCCUCAUGAAUACAUCACUCAAAAUGCUUGAGAAAAACGCGAUCCAAGAUGCUGAAUAAUCUUCUUGAAAAUAGCAGUUGGAGACGUCUUGGUACAUAAGUCCGCCAAAUCUUCACUUAAAGGAAUUUGCGAUAGAUGUAUAUCACCAUUGUGUUUUCAGUUGCCUCGUUAAAAUUUUGUCAUAGAAAAACCCAAUUGGAUAAAACCAUGAUAAGGAAAAAGAGUACAACUAUCAUAUAUCUCCCUAUGGAAGCAUCUUAUCUGCUUCUGGCAAUUUGAAUUCUUUUGAGACUAAAUCAAGUCUCUUUCUCAUUAUCAAAUUCAUAAAGGAUUCAAAAAUUAGUUGCAUCCACCACAGAAAAAUAUAACUCUUCAUAUAUUAUCUUUAUUUAUCUUACGCAUAAAGAUCCACAUACGUCUUAAUAGUUUUAUAAUUCUAAGUGUACGGACUACUGGUCCAAAUAAUUCUCUGCAAGAGAUUCUAACUUUAUUUUUAAAGGCUUUUCCAUGAUUGGCCAAUCAUCAUAUGUUUUUCAAAACAUCUUCUUAUAUAUACCGCGGUUUCUGAUCCUCAAUUAUCAUCAUCAACUGCUUUACUACAUGCAAAAAUAUUAUCGACGUCGAUUUGCUUUUGAUCCCAUUCAUUCCAGACAUGAUUCAACUAGUUGAAAUAUCUUAUCAUUACGAGGUACCUAGAUUUCUUUCUUUCUCAUGUCUAUGUCUCUUCUAGAGCUUGCUUCCAUGGCCUUGCCAUUUUAUAUAUGCUCCUUUUUCUUUUCCGAUGAUUCUAUAUAUGGAACCAUUAGGUCUAUCACGCUUCAUGCGAUCUUUAGCCUCAAUAGCAGUUGAUAUUGUCCAUCCGGGACAUCAAUAUUAAUUGGAGCACAGCUGGUAUCACUCAACAGGGUCAGGAAAUGCUUCUGGCAUAACUUUUCAAAUAAAUUAUCUUUUAACUUUUCGUGCACAUCUUUAAUGAGGACUAAGAUAAUUUUUAUUCACUGAUUUUCCAGGUGUUUAUUUUCUUCUCUCCUUAUAAUUGUUAGAAAAACUGACUCAUUGAAAUGAUAGGCUGUAAAUCAAACCAUAUUAAGGAAGAUUGAUAUCCAACAGUUCUUAACCUCCUUUGAGGUUCCAUCUAAGAUCAAUGUGGUGGAGCAACAUUAUAUCCAAAACUUUAAGAUGGGAAAUAUCUGGCUCCUGACCAAAACUAAUUUUGGGAAGAUUAUUUGUUGGCUUAAUGCGAAUUAAUGUGCUUUCACUCUAAUCAAUUAUCCAAAUACUUUCGCAAAAUAUAAUGGAUGAUCAGUCCAAAAUAUCUCUUGUAUAAGUACCAGAAAAUCAAUAAUUCCAAAUUUAUUGGAGAGUGAAAACCAAACACAUAAAAAUCUUCUGGAUCUUAUUCGCAUUAUUAUUUAACUGGAAUGGCUUAAUAGUUAUGCCAAAACAGUGAGAUUUAGUAAACUUCUGGUUUACUUAUCAUGAUCUAUUCUAAAUGAUUCUUGCAAAAAUCGAUUCAUAUGAAAAAAAUGCAAAAUUAACCACAGAUAAUUCAUGCAUAAAUACUACAAAGAAACAAAGCAUAACAGUUUGUGCACUGAUGAAUAUUAGUGGCAGAUAAUUCAUAUAGAAAAUAAAUAGAAUUAAUAACAGAUAAUUUAUGCAAAACUGAUAAAUCAUAAAAAUAAUUUCUUAAUUCAAUAAAAUAAUUUAAUCAUGUUUGAUAAAACAAAGGAAACAAUUAAUAUCAUAGUGCAAAGAUAAGAACUAAAUAAAGCCAAAAAAAAAAUGAAUUCAAGAAAAACCAAAACAAAACCAACACCAUAUCUAAAUCAAAUUCCCUUCAGGGGCUUGGGAAUCAUCAGCAUUCAUUAGAUCAUCUUCAUCAUCGAACACGAAGUUUGUUUCAGCGUGCACUCUUUUUUGUUUAAUUGACUCUUGAUAAAGGUCAACAAGGCGCUUUGGUAUGCGACAAGUACGAGACCAGUGAUCUUUUCCUCCACAGCGAUGACAAACAUUUGUUAUUUUUUUUUCUUUAAUAUUAUCUUUCCUUUCCCAAUUUUGCUGAGAGUAUGAUUUCUUGAAAGAAAUACUUCGGCCUCGACCUCGACCUCGACCUCGACCAAAACCAUAUCCUCUUCCACGACCACUUCUACUUCCAUGUCCACGUUGGUAAUCACUUCCUUCAUCAUCAUGAGAUACCACAUUUGCUUCAGGCAAUGGAGCAGAACCAGUUGGACGUAAUUGAUGGGUUUUCAUCAGUAGCUCAUUGUUUUGCUCAGCCAGAAGGAGAGAAGAUAUAAGUUGAGAGUAUUUCUUAUAUCCUUUUUCACGAUAUUGUGUCUGCAGGACAACAUUGUUUGCGUGAAAGGUUGAGAAUAUCUUUUCCAGCAUAUCUGCAUCUGUGACUUUCUCUCCACAUAACUCCAAUUUGGAAGUUAUAUUGAACAUUUUUGAGUUAUACUCACUCACUGACUUAAAGUCUUGUAUUCUCAGAUGUGUCCAAUCAUAGCGAGCUUUAGGUAAUACCACAUUUUUUAGGUGGUCAAACCUUAUCCUUCAAGCUACUCCAAAGAACUUCUGGUUCUUUUAUAGUCAAGUAUUCAUUCUUGAUAUCUACAUGGAGAUGAUGGCGAAGGAAGAUCAUAGCCUUCGCUUUAAUCUGUGUUGCAGCAGACAAGUAGAUAAGACAGAACUCAAGUAUCAAUAGAUCUAGAUGCUCUGUUUUGUUGCUCAAAAUUCUUUGUUGAACAGGGAGAAUUCGAAGACUUCGAUAAAGAGAAAGCUCUUUCUUAAUAAUGCAAAAACCAAGUCUCAAAAUAAAAGAUCCAACGCCUUAUAUAGGCUCGAACUAUAGUACUUAUCGAUAAAAGGAAAUAAUACUAAAGUCAAAAUAACCAAAGAUUAGAAUAGCUUGUAAUCCAAGUAAAAGAGAUAGAGAUGUCGCUACAUCAGGUCCCCCGAGGUAAGAAGAAAAUUCGAGGUCGAAUUUUCAACUCCAUCUUCGGCCACAAAAGGAACAAGGUGUUUGACAUUGAAAACAUCAGCAGUGUUCAUAUGUGGUGGAAGUUGUAGAUGAUACACAUUGUUGUUAAUCUUCUCCACGAUUGUGAGGGGACCUAUCUUUCGAGACUUGAGCUUGUUAUAAAUACCGGGUUUGAAACGAUCUUUAGUUAACACUGCCCAAAAUAAGUCUCCGAACUGGAAUUGGACAUCACGCCUGCAUGCAUCAACAUCAGACUUGUACUUUGCUAUUGCAGCCUCUAAGUUCGAACGAACUUGCUCGUGAAUAACAGCAAAUUCAUCAAAAAAGUCGCAAGCUCGACCAUGAAAUGAGUUCGAUCAGGAGUGAUAGCAAGAGCUGCAGGACACCGAGGCACGCUCCCGUAAACCACCUGAAAAGGACUAAAACCGGUACUACGGUUAACAUCACGAUUAUGAGCAAAUUCGCCCUGGCAAAGAAUGGGAUCCCAUGUCUUGAUGUUAUCACCAACAAGACACCUCAACAAAUGUCCCAGUGCUCGAUUAGUGACUUCCGUUUGGCCAUCCGUCUGUGGAUGAUAGGCCAAACUCAUGUCCAACUUGGUCCAAAGGAGACGCCACAGUGAUCUCCAAAAGUGACUCAAGAAGCAAGAAUCCCUAUCGGACACAAUAGAUAGCAGUAAACCAUGAAGUUUGUAAACCUCCCGGAAGAAUAAGAUCACUACCUGAACUGCAUCAGUAGUCUUCUUACAGGGGAUAAAGUGUACCAUCUUAGAAAAACGAUCAACCACAACAAAGAUGGAAUCAUUAGCCCUUUGCGUCCUUGGUAACCCAAGCACGAAAUCCAUACUUAUAUCUGUCCACGGUUGAGUAGGAAUUAGCAGAGGCAAGUACAGGCCUGCGUUGUUGGCUUUGCCUUUAGCUGCUUGACAGAUCCCACAUCGUACGAUAAAACGUUCCACAUCACGUCUUAAAGUUGGCCAAAAAUAAGAAGCACUUACCAAUUUAAGCGUAUGAUCCCUUCCAAUGUGACCUUCACCAUGAAGUUCGCGAAUCAACUGAAGUCGCAAACUACACUCAGGAAUACACAACUACGAACCGCAAAACAAAAAGCUAUAAAACAUGAGAUAUGUCAAUCCCAGACCUUGCUCGGCGUCACGCCAGAUCUUCGCAAAGAAAGGAUCCAGAGGAUACAACUCUAAAGUGUAUCAAAACCAGGAACAGAAGUAUGCAAAGUAGUAAGCAAAGCAUAGCGGCUAUUCAAAGCGUCAGCAACCUUGUUAAGAGAGCCUGCCGUGUGCUUAAUAACAAACGAAAAUUGUUGCAAAUAAGCAAACCAAGAGGUGUGACGCGCAGACACUUUAUCCUGCGAACCCAUAUGCUUAAGAGCAUCGUGAUCGGUGUAGAGAACAAAUUCACGAUGAAACAGAUAAUGUCUCCAAUGCUUCACGGCUUGGACGACAGCAUACAGUUCAACAUCAUACGUACUGUAUCGAGCACGAGAACCUGCAAUUUUCUCACUGUAGAACGCAAUGGGACGACCGGUUUGGCUAAGAACUGCUCUGAUGCCUGUUUUGGAAGCAUCAGAAUGUAAUUCAAACGCCAUAUCAAAAUUGGGAAGAAUCAAAACAGGUGCAGAGGUGAGUUUAGACUUGAUCGUCUAAAACGCGAGAUCAGCUUCAGAAGUCCAACAAAAAGAGGCGGAUUUCAUACAAGCAGUGAUCGGGGCCAUGAUGCUGCUAAAAUGAUGUAUGAAUCGCCGGUAGAAUGAAGCUAAGCCAUGGAAGCUCCUAACAUCAGUAACAGAACGAGGAGUUGGCCAGGAGUGUAAUGCCGAAAUCUUUGCAGGAUCGACUUCCAAACCUCGUGCAGAUAUAAUAUAACCCAAGAAAAGAAUCUGAUCGGCACCAAAAACACAAUUUUGUGUAGCUGCAAACAAUUUUUCUCUUCGCCGCACCAGCAGUACAUCACGGAGAUGCUCCAAAUGCUCAGUCAAAGAAGAACUAAAGAGAAGAAUGUCGUCAAAAUAGACAACAACAAACCGUCCAAUAAAUGGCCGCAGGGCUUCAUUCAUAACACGCAUAAAAGUGCUCGGAGCAUUCGACAGUCCAAAAGGCAUCACCAGCCAUUCAAACAACGCUUUGCGUGUUUUAAACGCUGUCUUCCAUUCAUCACCAGGACGAAUUCGAAUCUGAUGAUAUCCACUACGAAGAUCCGACUUGGUAAAAAGAGAAGCAUAUCCGAUUUGGUCCAGAAGGUCAUCAAGAUGCGGAAUCGGAAACCUGUACCAAAUGGUAAUCUUAUUAAUAGCUAUGCUGUCAACACACAUUCGCCAGGAGCCAUCCUUCUUAGGGAUGAGUACAGCCGGAACAGCACAAGGAUUUAGGCUUUCACGCACAUAACCAUUGGCAAGGAGAUCCUCAACUACCGUCCUCACUACCGUCAUGUUCUCUUGGGCUCAUACGGUAGUGAGGACGGUUUGGCAACACAGAAUCUGGAGCCAAAUCGAUGCAAUGCUGUAUAUCUCGCAGUGGUGGAAGUCCAUCAGAUAAUUCGGUUGGAAAGACAUCUGCAAAUUCUUUCAAGAGGUCAAGAAAAGCCAAUGGAACAGAAGGAAGCACCGACAAUAUCUGCGGUUUAAAACAGAGAAGAAAAACAACAUCAAUAGCUCUGCAUUCAUAAAAAAUUUCAGAUUUAGAAAUGAAGAAAGCAGGCUUGCUCUUAUCCACAAGAGUUGGCUCGAUGUCCUCGCUUUUGACCGUCAAGUCUGUGGCAACCUGAGAAGGCAUCAGAGUGAUACGCCGACCUUCAUAAGUGAAACUAUGUGUAUUGGCAAAACCAUCAUGCAUAGUUUUUCAGUCAUAUUGCCACGGACACCCCAAGAGUAUGUGACACGCAUCCAUCGGCAAGACAUCGCAGCAGUUGAGAUCUUUGUAGUUGAGGCCAAUGGAAAACAGAACUCGACAGCGCUUGGAAAUAUGAAUAUCCGUCUUUGAAUUGAGCCACGCGAUCUUAUCCGGAGAAGGAUGAGGCUCGGUGAACAACGCAAGCUUCGCGACAGCCUCUUCAGAAAUAGCAUUCGUGCAGCUUCCAGAAUCAAUAACCAGACGACAGACCUUACCGCGAAUCGUACAGGUCGAUUGAAAAAUGUUGGUACGAAGCCAAGAUUCUUCAAUGCCCUGAGGAAUAAGGUAGUUGCAACGCAACAUUAACAAAGGACCCACAUCACCAACCACACAUUCCUCUGAAUCAUCGAUAACAUCUUCAUCAUCACCAUACUCAUCAAACACAGUUUCAUCUUUAGCUAAGAGACCACGAUGAUGUACUUGAGGGCAGGCAGAUUGACGAUGCCCCGUUUCUCCACACUUAAAGCACUUGAAUGUGGCUGUUCGUUGUGAACUCGGGGCAAGAAUACCCUCCGUAUUGUCUGAAAUUUUAACCGAGUCUAGCGAUUUUGUCAGGCCAGAUUCAGUUGCUGAGUUGAGGCGUGUACGUUGUGAAUUCCAAGAAGAGGAUUGGCCCCUCGCAUGUUUCUCAAUCAGAACAGCAUGUUGAUGCGCUUCUGAUACCGAUAAAGGAUCAAAUUUCAGGAGCGAACUCUGAAUGGAUUGUCGUAAACCACUGAUGAAGCGAGAGAAUCGCUGUUCUUCAUUCUCGUUUAACGUAUUCCGAGCCAACAAAGAGAAAAAAUUCAGCAGCAUAGUCAUCAACCGAACGACUUCCCUGUCGCAAAUUUUGCAGCUUCGUAUACAUAGUUCUCGUAUAAUUGUACGGGAAAAAAGCCUUCCGCAUUAACUUCUUUAAUUUUUCCCAAGACGAGACACGUUCCUUCCCUGCGCGAGCUCGUGAUUCCUUCAACUGUUGCCACCACGCAGAAGCUCGUCCACGAAAAUGCGUUGCAACAAGAGACACAUGCAUCGGAUCAGGGACCUCCUUAAAGUCGAGCAGCUCUUCCGUUGUGUUGAUCCAAUCAAGAAAUUCUUCAGGUUGAUUUCCACCGGUGAAUUCAGGCAAGUCAAGUUUGAAACCAGACUCCCAUCUUCGAUUAUCUUCACGGGGCGCGGCAAUAAGAUCACGCCGGCGAUGAAUUCCCUGCUGGUUUUGUUCACCGUGUUGAACAAACUCAUCAGCAAAGAUGUUUUCGUCUUCGUCGUCUUCAGCAUCGAUGACAGGAUCCCGUCGAUUAGGAGCAGCGUUUUGUUGCGCUUGCACAAGUGUUCGCACCGCAGCUUCCAUAGUAGCUUGCAUCGAGUUACUCAAAUUCUGUUGAAACUCCACCAUUAAAGCCCUAAAAGCCUCGUUGUGAUCCUCAAGGGUAGCUUGCAGACUCUUUUUAGGCGGCAUCUUCAGGAAAUCUUGGUCUCUGAUUCAACUGUUGCAGCGGACAAGUAGACAAGACAAAACUCAAGUAUCAAUAGAUCUAGAUACUCUGUUUUGUUGUUCAAAAUUCUUUGUUGAACAGGGAGAAUUCAAAGACUUCGAUAAAGAGAAAGCUCUUUCUUAAUAAUGAAAAAACCAAAUCUCAAAAUAAAAAAUACAACGCCUUAUAUAGGCUUGAACUAAAGCCCUAAUUGAAAUUAAAAGUACUAAACGAUAAAAGGAAAUAAUACUAAAGUCAAAAUAACCAAAGAUUAGAAUAGCUUGUAAUCCAAGUAAAAGAGAUAGAGAUGUCGCUACAUCAGUUUGAGUGGUUGUUUAUUUCCCUCUUUGAUUGCAUCACCGAGACCUUUAGAAUCAAGGUACAUCUCAACAUCGAUCAGCCAAGAUAAAUAAUUCGCUACAUCAGUUUGAGUGGUUGUUUAUUUCCCUCUUUGAUUGCAUCAUCAAGACGUUCAGAAUCAAGGUACAUCUCAACAUCGACCAGCCAAGAUAAAUAAUUAUUUCCAGAGAUGUCAAGGGCAUCAAACUCAAGGUUGAUAAUGUUUGGUAUAGUUUUCUGAAAUAAUAAAAGAAUAAUCAAGUUUCAUGAUAAUUAACUAAGAUGCAAGUAUUAUGAGCAAAGUUUAUUUAAAAAUAUAAAUUUAAUGUAUUAACACUUAAACAUACACUAAUUUAUGAAUAAAACAAAUAACUCAAAUCAUAUGACAUUGAUUAACAUGAUUUAAUUUAAUAAAAAUCAAAUUAAUAUUUAAAGUAGUACUCGAUAAAUUAUAAUAUCCAACAAGCACAAAAACUUAUGCAAUAAAAUAUUUUGAUUGUUAUAUUCCAUCACCGUAAUUAAAACAUAAGAAAUUAAUCUGAUUUUAAUACUAGCUACAAAAGGUGAAGGUAGGUUACUAGUUUAAUAAAUUCUAUAAUGACAAAACCAAUGCUUUUAACAUAUCAAUUAAAGUAACGAUUCUAUUAUAAACCCUAGCAAUCUUUUAUGUGCUAUAUUAUAUUAAUUGGAAAAGUCGUAAGUCAUCAACCUUAUUAUGCUACAUCAAAGAUCUUAGUUGGUUUCAAAAACAUGAUUGCUUAAAAAAAAUCUCUGUUCUAUGAAUUUUAACAAAACUCCUUGAACAAUAAGAUCUAAACAGUAAAAGUCAAUUAUUCUAAAUUUAUGUUUUACCUUUAAAACAAUAUGAAGUUUCAAUAUGCGAUGAAGGAAUUUAUAUAAUUUUAUAACUGAAUUGCCACAUGUUCCAUAUAAUUAUGCAUAAUUAAAUCAAUAAUAAGAAGUACUAUGACGUGUGUUUAUUGAUUCAUAUGAGGUAUGUAUAUAAACAAAUAAAACGAAGCAUCAAUAAAAGUAAAGCACAUAAACGUACAUAUAAAUUAUUUAAUCAUGUGAUUUUAAUCAAAACUCUAAUUAAUUUAGAAAUUAUUUUCUUUGUAAAUCAAAAUUUCUCAAUCGAUUAUUCUUAAUAAAAACUCUUUAAACAAUAAAAUAUAAAGAUCAAACAAUCGAUUAUUCUAGAUAAGUAUCGAUUACCAUCCUUUAUAAAAUAUAAUUGGAGAAGACAUAAUCUACCAUAUGAUUAUAAUCGAGAAGGCAUAGCCUACCAAUACAAUUGAUUUGAAAAAAAAUGUAUCACUUAUCAUUCCGGAAUAAUGUAUGAAUAAUGAUAGGUAUUUAUAGUAUUAUAAAGACUUGAGGAGAAAGCUAAAACUUAGAGAAUAAAAAAAUAGAGAAUAUUCUAAACUCUUUCUCAUAAUAGACUUCAUAAUGGACAUCCACAUAUUUAUUCAUAACACAAUAACACAAUGUGUAAUUUAGGUGUCAACUUUUUCGCAAUACACAAAGUCAAAGAAAUCUCUACUGUACAAUCGAUUAUGUUGUAUUCGAAAAGAAAAUCAUAUGGUUUUAAAUUAGCAGAGUUAAAUUUACCAAAGUUUCCGGUGUGCUGUAGAAUCGUUUGUCGUGGUCAAGGAUAAUUAAUGUGUCAAAGAUAAAACUGUCCAGCACAAACAUGAUGCUCAUGUAUAAUCGUUUAUCAUGGAUCCUUAUAAGCAGGUAAAGGUGAAACUGUUUGACUUCACUCGUAAUUGAUCUCAUUAUUUAUAUUAAAAAUAGUAUUAGGAUACUCAAGCCACGAUUUUCCACAUUUGGAAGCAAAGAAACAAUGUCUUGCAUAAUCAACAGUCGAUUCCUUUGGCGAUCAUCUUCAAGAAUGUCAACUGCAAAAUCCGCAACAUCAUUUCCUCGAGGAGACACCGCAAGCAUUGCCAAAACUUCAUGACACUCUGGAUCCCGUAAACUAAUCAAACUUUACCCAACUCUUUUACUGCCUUGUUUUUUAUUUUAUUUUUGCCAAGGCAUCAAAUGUAAUAGGUUUUCUGCUCUUGUAAAUCAUAAACCUUCAUUCUUAAUAAUAUUUUACAUUCUUAGCAAAAAAAUGAACGAGGGAUGAGCCAUGUAAGAUAACACUUCCUAAACAAUACACUACCUUAACUCUACCUCUACUACUACUAGGAAGUGUUGUAUAUUUUGCUUCUUCCAACUCUUGGUCUUUCCAAGAAUCGGUGUCAAAGUCAUGGAUUUUUUACGCAUGGGUAUAUCCAGACUUUUCUCUGAUUUUUUUUAUUUACAACGUUUCUGGAUUUUACAUUUUUACAAAAAUGUAACCUGUUAAAUCCUCACAUGAGAUCUGUAUUCUCCAUUGUUUAUUAUUUAUUUUAUUUGAUUUUUCCUUAUUUUUAUUUUUCUUUAUAACAAAAACUCUUGAUUAAGUUGAUGCGGACGUAGUGAAGACCCGACGGGUCAUGUGCUCCAUACUGUUUUUUAUUUUUAUUUUUUAAAUAAUUUAGGUAACUUUCAUUAACAAAUUUUAGUUUAGUUAUAAAAAAGAAAAAAAUUAUCACCAACUAAUUUUUUUUUCUAGAUUCGCCCCUUGAUACGAUCUUCCAUAACAACAAUGUAACUUAGUUGUCAAGAAAAUUUAAGACAAUAGUCACAAUAUACAGCUCUACAAAUUGGGAACAAAUGAUAACAUGAAGAACAAAAUAUAUAUAAAAACAAACUCUUCUGUGAUCUUAGGUCUAAACAAAGAAACUUUAAGACUUAUGCAAAAGCCUUAGUAAUCACAAGUGAACGGUGACAAAUUUAUUCAAAAUAAUAUUACUUCCAGAUCGAAGUCAAACCACCAGAGUUUAACUCAGAAUGUUAAACAUUCAUGGCGAAUCAGGCAGAGUAAACAUAUACAUUAAACACGAUUUCAGAAUAUAAAGCAAGAACCAGGGCAACGAGCAAAGGACAACUUUUUCCAUCAAGAAUUCCACUCUCGACUGCAACUUAGCUUUAGACAUAAACAUAUGUCUUCUCUAUUCUCUGGUUCUUGUAAACUCUCUCUAAGAUCGAAUUACUAAUCUAAUUUACUUUGCUAAAAUCUUCUCCAAAACGCUCUCAAAUCUUGUUUGUUCAGAUCGAUCAACAAACUUACUGUUUAUUCCUCGAUAUGCCCUUGGUUCUUCUUUUUGUUUUUAAGUUUUGCCCAAGAUCCUUCUAUUUUUACUAUUUACAAAUUUUGGCAAUUGUAUUAUCAACUACAUCAACGAUAUAAAAAUUCAUAAAUCAUAUGUCAUAAUCCAAACUACAACCAUGUGUCUGUGAGAUGCAUAUGCAAUUGCAUUGAUGCUUUAGUGUUUUAUGUUAAUGCAAAAAAAAAAAAAAUAGCAGACAAUAAAUUAAUAUUACAUGUUGUGGUUUUGAGUUUGGGAAAUUACAGAUUUUGACCCAAAGAACUUCUUAGUAAUAAAGAAAAAAACAUUUCACUCUAAUAUUUUUUACAAAUUUCAGUUUACAAAAAAGAUAUUAUACAAUUUAAAAUUGUUCAUUUUUAUAUUUGUAAUUACUUGUUACUUGGUGGAAACUCGUUAGUCCACUAGUCAACUAAAAAUUAAUUCAUGCUUCUUUUUUUUUUUUGUCAAUAUCCUCUUCUCCUAGACCGAAAUGGUUAACCAAGCCGGUGGAGAUGAGUUUACAUAAAUCAUGUUUCCUGGGCAGACUCUAGCACUGUGCUAAUGUGUCCGCCAUGGUAUUCUUCACUCGUGGUAUAUGAACUAGUGUAAAACAGUGGAACUUCUCUCUGCAUUUCUGGAUUUCCUCCAGCUGUAAUGCGAAUGCUGGCCAUUCCUUGGGUGCCGACAGCAUCUUCACCACAUCAGAACAGUCUGUUGCAAAAGCCACUUCUCUUCGCUGAUUUUCGAUCAUGCAAAGCAUUUCCCAUAAUAGUGCUUCUACUUGUGCAUGUAAAGGAGAUAAGCUUUGUCGUAAAUUUCUUGCCCCCAUUAUUGUCUCAUUGGUUUCCUCCCGCCUGUAGUACCAACCUAUACCUAACAUUUUAUCCGUCUCUUUCCAAGAACCAUCCACCGAGCACCAUCCAUUAUUAAAGGAGGUUGUAUGCAUUGGCAGUCGAUGACGUUGUAUUUCCGUUACAGUUAUCGAGUUUUGUGCUUCUUCCCAUAAAAAGGUUUUUGUUUCCGCUAAUUUAAGCGUCAUUCGUGGAUCUCUGUCCACAUUUGAGAAUAGUUUGUCAUUUCUUGCCUUCCAGAUGUACCAUACUAUCCAUGGGUAAGAUUCUUUAGAAAUCUCUUUUGGUAUAUGCCAAAACAAAUGAUCAAAAUUUGCGUAAAUAGAACUUCCUGAAAAAACUCCGGGAGGUGUUGGAAUUUGUGACCAAUCUCUGCAUUGCUGGUGGGCAUUCGAAUAAAACAUGAUUAAUUGUUUCCUCAUCUUCCCCACAUCUGCUGCAUUGAGAAUCACAUUUGAUUCUUCUGUUGUUAAGGUUUUUUGCAACUGCCAGACAGCCUGUCAAUGAUUACCAUAAAAAAUAUCUCACAUCUCAGUUUCCAUAUUUUGCUAAUAAGAGUCUGAAAUCAGGUCCAUAGAGGUUUUUUGUUUCUUCUUCUGAGUCUUGAUGUUCAAUUUGAUAUCCAGAUUUGACCGUGUAUCGACCUGAUUUUGUGAAGUGCCAACCCAUUACAUCCGGCCGAAAUGUAGAGCUUAUAGGCAUCUCUUGUAUUAUUUCGACAUUUUUUGGUUUUAUUAAGGCAUUAAUGAGCCCCAUAUUCCAAGUACUAGUCCACGUCCGCGGAUCAAUUAGGUGAUUUACCAUUAGAUUUGGGUAGUAAUUAUAACCCAUACAUAUUGCUGAUCUUGGGCGAGAAGAUGGUAUCCAGGGAUCGUUCCAAACCGAAGUGGAGCAUCCAGAACCAACUCUUUUGAUUAGCCCUUUGUUAACCAGAGAUUGAGUUGAGAUAAUACUUCGCCAUCCGUAGGAUGGGGAAUAGGACCUUAUGUUAUCCAUUGGGUCUGCAUUCCGAUAAUAUCUCCCUUUAACGAGUCUGGCUUUCCAUUAAACGCCAUAAUUGUUUUGCCAAUAAUGUCGUGUGAUAUAUUCAUAAAUUGCAUCAUUUAAUGUACAUAUUCUAGUCCAAAUCAUGUCUCAUUUACAUGCAUUUUAGGUCUUUAGGCAUUGUUUUAGGACUUAGGAGAUUGCAUUAGGUCCAAGAGAGUUUUGCAUGUUUUGGAGUGUUAAACAGGUGCUUUUGGAGUUUAUUUGGAGUGGAGGAUGUGAUUCAGAUGAAGAAAUGGAGUUGAACUUAUCAAAAAUGGUGAAAAGAAGCAAUUUUGAGUUUCUCUGCAAAAUGAUGUACUGAUGGCCGAAGAUUCUCGGCCAAAUUCCUUCCCGCGGGAAGCUUUCUCGGCCAAAAACACGUACCGCGGUCAAGUCUCUCGGCCAAAAAUCCCGGAUGCAGAUACAUUUCAGAAAUCGCAUCACCGGAUGCUCUUGCCGGCCGAUUCAGCUUACAGGGUCUUCAGAAAAGUUGGAGAUAAUUGAGUCAAGAACCCAGGACAGGUUGAAUAAAGGCAUUUGGAGCACUGAGCGGAAAGAUACGGUCACCGGAAGACAGACCUCUCUCGCAUCCAUUCCGGAGCAAUCCGAUACUCCUGAAUGAUCGCCUGUCCGGAGAACCUUCCGGUCCGAUUCAGCGGUCGGGCGCUUCCUCAAAGUUUGAGAAGGUUCGAGCACGGUUCCAUAGCAAGUGAAAUCACUCAAUUCGGACGCGUGAGCAGAAAGUUAAGCUCGGCGGAAGAAACUCCUGUCUCGCUGCCGUUUUGGACCAAACCGAUGAGCUCCGAAGAAUGCGAAGGACGGUGCACUUCCAGGCCGAUUAAGCUUCCGGGGCCUUCAUGAAAAUCAGAGACAUUUGCGUCUUCUUUCCAGAACUUCCACGAGUAUUCAAUUCGGAGCUAUGAGAAGGAAGAUACGGUCUCCGGAAUGGACACAUGUCUAGACGCCUCUCUCUGAUCGUGUGAAUGCAAUGCAAAGAUGAGCCCUCCAAGAAGUCUUCCACUUCCCAAGCACUGCCUUCACCACAGUUGUAUAUAUAUGAGUCAUCUGUUCUCUGCAACCGGAAUCACUCAAUUCGGACAAAUAUCGUAGAAGUUACACUCUUCGGAAUGCGAAGUGGUCCAAGCUGCUCUGAAUGCUGCGAGAAAGCCUUGCGACUUGGUUAACUCGCAGGCCUGAAGACGAAUGCUUGGAAAUUGAUGCUGCGAGUUGAGAAGUGCGGGCAAGCUAUCAAUGGAUGAGGUCUGAGGCUCCCGAGCAAGAAAAUUGCUAAGUCCACAAUACUGCGACUUGGGCAUGCUACCUCGGAGACGCUGGAACCAAGCCGCAUGAUCACUCGCAAUCUACUCCGACUUGGGCGUGCUGGCUGGGAGCAAGGAGACCAACCCGCACGGUUUAUACAUUCCCCAGAAACCGCCUUGGUCUUGCGAGUUGAAGAAGAAGAAGAUUAAGCCGCAGCAAGACUCGCAAAACACUCCUACUUGGGCGUGCGGCUAAGACAAAGCGAUUAAGUUUCACAAGACAAGUUCUUCAUCUACUGCGACUUGGGCAUGCUACCUGGGAGACACUGGACCAACCCGCAGGAUUUCCACUUUACCCACUAAAGACGGGUCAGGACCCGGUUUGUUCCGGGCCAACCCGGUUCAUUAGCAUUUAGUAUAUAUAGCUUUUUGGAGAAAAACCCUAGGGAUCUAAUCUUCUCUCUUAGUUUCUCUCUAGUUUUCUUUCCUUUUUAGUGUAAAACGUUUUUGAUUAAGAGAUAUCUGAAGGGAUUUGAUCAUUCCAAGUCUGUUUCUUAUCAUCUCAUCAUCUCAUUUCUGCUUCUAAUCAUGAUUAACAUCAUCUCUUGCAAAAGAUUAGAUGUGUUCUUCAUGAUUAGUGAGUAGUCAUCUUUUAAGCUUCUAGGUGUGUAGAUUAGGGUGCUUAGAUGUUUGAUUUGUGAUGUUUAGGGUUUAGAUUCUCAUUUCAUUUCCUUAGUUAGCUGCUCCUAAUGCCAGAUUUCCAUGGGAAAGUGAAAUCUGGGUUCAUAGGCAUUUCAUGCACCAAAAGUGUUUGAUGAAAUGCCUGAAAGAGCUAACUUAAGGGUUUAUGUUUUAAAUGCCAUGAGAAUAGUUGUUUGAAGCAUAAAUGACAUAUUAGAACUGUUUUUUAAUGCUCAUUAGUUCAUAUUUCACAAAUGGGAAUUUGGUUUGAAAGUGGAUUAGUGUAGAGAUUAAUGCCUUCAUGAGAGGAUUAGUUUAGAUUAGAGUUCUAAGUUUAAAUGUUUGUGAUCAUGUGAUUGCUUGCUAUGUCUUUCUGUGUAAGAUUCAGUCUUUCUUAGCUCUUAUUUUGAUUCACAAAGAGGCUGUUUGGUCAUGUUAGACUUGGAACCUUAUGCUUGUUAAUUGCUUAUUCACUAAUAGGAAUUAGUCUUGAAUUGGUAAUUAACAAAGGGAUUUCUGUCAUGAGAAUGAAUUAAUCUGAAUUGGAAGUCUAGACUAAAUAUUUGCAAGUGUUGCAUUGUUUGCUUAGCAUCAUGAAUUCACAUUUAAAGCACCCUGAUCAAUGAUCACAUCUAGAGGUUUAGCUUUCUCUUUAUUUGAAUUUGAGUGUUUAUUUUGUUUCUCUUGCUUGUUUAAUUCUUAAUUACUGUUUGUUCUUGCUUGUUUUUUUAUAUGCUUUUAGAUAAUCUUGGUUACCAACUCAUCUGCUUAUUAGACUUGGAUUAAGAUAGCUCCUCAUAGUUCUAGUGUCUAGAAUCUCUCCAUUUGGAUUGAUACCUCAAGUGCUACAAUGACAUGAGUAGUUGAGGAAUUGAUCAAGGAUUGAAAAUUUCCUACUAUUACCGUGUUAAAAUCCUCUAUCGACCUGAAACCCAUCCCCCCAUCAGAUUUGUGAUGACACAUCCUUUUCCAUGCUAGCCAGUACAUUCCCCUCCCUUGGCCACUCGUGUUCCACCAGAACCUUGCCGUGAUGCUAGUUAACUUUGUGAUGAUUGACUUCGGUAAGCGGAAACAUGACAUGACAAAUGUUGGCAUAGCUGAUGCCACCGAUUUUAUUAGGACUUCCUUUCCCCCUUUUGAUAAUAAAUUUGAUGUCCAUCCGUUUACACGGUCCUGUUGUCUAUCAGCUAGAAACUGAAAGAUCUUGCUUUUCGCUCCUCCAAGAUUUUCCGGCAAUCCUAAAUAUGAGCCCAUUCCCCCCAUAUUGUUAAUUCUUAAGAUUUGUUUCAUCUCAUUUUGCACUACAUCUGAGACCUUAUGCCUGAAUUGUAGCGAUGACUUAUCAAAAUUUAUUUGUUGACCCGAGACGUUCUUAUAUUGUCGAAGCACCUGCAGUAUCUGUUGGCAUUCCUCUUUAUUUGCUUUACAAAAGAAGAGGCUAUCAUUCGCAAAUAAUAAGUGUGAGAUCGAUGGACUUGAACGGGCUACUUUUAAUCCGGUCAGUUUUUUUGUCUCGUUCCGCCUUCUUUAUAUUAGAGAUCAGAACUUCCGUAUAUAAAAUAAAUAAGUAUGGGGACAGGGGAUCCCCUUGUCGGAGUCCCGGAUGUGGAAUAAUUCUUCCUUUGGGUUGCCCAUUCAGUAGAACUUUGUAUUGUACUGAUUUUAUACACCACAUCAUCCAGGUAAUCCAUCUUUCCGCAAAUCCAAUUUUCCUCAAAAUAUGUUCUAUGAGAUCUCAUUCGAUCCUGUCAUAUGCUUUGCUCAUGUCCGUUUUAAUUGCCAUGAAUUUAUCUUGGCAGGACUUGUUAGUACGGAGUCCGUGGAACAUUUCCUGUGCUUUUAGAAUGUUAUCUGAGAUCAAGCGUCCAGCGACAAAAGCUUCAAAUGGUAAUUUCAUGACCAAGGAAGUCAAUGGUGCCAUGACCCUAGUGGAGAAUGUAGCUCAGAGUGAUGAGCUUAUGGAUCAGACUUUGAAAGGAAUUCAAGUGGAGCUGUGAGUGCUGAAGAGGAAAGGACAAGGAAAGACAUCAAGUCUCUCAAUGAGAAGCUAGACACACUUCUCUUAGCUUCUCAUCAGUCAGCCAACUUUGUUAGAGAUGUGAAUCAUGUGUUUCAAGACACAUUUCAAAGGGAAGACAUCACAGCUGAGGUGAACUUUGUAGGUGGCCAACAAGGUUACCAAAAGGGCUUUACCUACUACAAGAAUCCCCCAUACCAGAACUUCUAUCCUCAAAACACUCAACAACAAGGUUUUGUCCCUCCCCAACAACAAAGUCUCCAACAGAACUCAGAGAAUAAGGAUCAAGAAGUUCAGAACCUGCUCCAGGAAAUCCUCAGAGGUCAAGCAAGUGGUGCCAUGGAAUUUAACAAGAAAAUGGCAGAGAUGAACAACAAGGUGGAUUGCAGUUAUUCUGAUCUUCUAUCUCAGCUUAAAACCUUGGCUUCCAAAGUCAAGACUCUAGAGAACAACAAGGGCCACUGCAGUUCUCAAGCUCAAAGAUCUUUACCAGGGACAUCAGUAGCACAUCCAACAGAAUACUGCAAUGCCAUCCUCUCAAAUGAUGAGAAUCAUGCUGCUGUCCAAGAAAUUGAGGAUCUUCUCCAUGGAAAUGUCUCAAGUGCAAAGUGCCUAACACAAGAUGAUGAGGACGCCAUCAUAGAGGAGUUUGACUUCCUGUUCUGUGAUCUCAAUGAGGACAUUGAGAAAGAAGGUGGGGAGGCAGCUUGUUUUGAUAUGAAAAAGAAUGAUUCUGAGAUUGCUGAAGGAAAGGAUCAGAGAAUGGUUCAAGGAAGGACAUCUGAUGGAGUCUCUAGCACUGGUUCAACAAGGGUGAAACCCAAAUCAAUUCCCAAGCUAGGUAAUCCAGGAAAGUUCUCCAUCUCAUGCUCUCUUGGAAUUUUGAAAGUGGACAAUGCUUUAUGUGAUUCUGGAUCAAGCAUCAGUGUAAUGUCUUUAAACAUGGUGGAGAGACUAGGGAUCAAGAGUCUUAAGCAUCAGCCCAUGUCAAUCACCUUUGGAGAUUCAUCCUCAAAGAAACCAUAUGGAAUCCUUGAAGACUACCCAUUGAAAAUUGGUGAAUGCAUAGUUCCAACAGAUUUUGUAGUUAUGAAGAUGAAGAAGACAAAAGAGCUACCUCUUUUGCUUGGAACUCCAUUUCUGAACACCACAGGAGCAAGGAUGGACUUUGAUACUCAAAGAGUGGUGCUUGCUAAGGUAGAUGAUGAAGUAUCUUAUCCUCUUAAGCCUCCUCUUGCUGGGUUUUGUGGAGUUAUAUCUGAUGAUUCUGAUGAGUUGAAACACUAUGGGAUGAUGUAUGUGGGGAGUAUUGGAACUAUAGAAGAAGCUCAACCCCUUGCAUCUGUUGAGAAAAAGAAAGAAUCCCUAAUAAGACCUGAUCUUGAGUUUGAAGGGGAUUUCUUUAGUGAUGAUGAAGCUUGCUUGGAAUCUCUAUCUCUUACACCAAGUGAGAAGGAGAUCAGCAGCAACAAAGGCAAUGGCUCAGGGUCUCAAGACAAGAACCCACCAAGAACCAGACCAUUCACUCUUGAGUCAUCUUCUCAGGUCUUAACUCUCACUCCUUGGAAGUUUGUUGGUGGAGCUGUUGAAUACAAGGUUAAAGGCAAUGGAAGAUCAAGACCAUUUGCCAAAGUCAGAGCUAUCCUCACACCAGACAUAGACAAAGGAUCAGAUGGUAUCCAAGAGCUGAUGAACAAGGACCUCAUGCUUGAAUUUAUGGACAAGACAAGGAGCAUCAAAGCUCCUCCUCUCACUCACUAAGAAAAGAGUAUGAAAAGUCAAACUUAGUGACUUUAAACAAAGUGCUCUUGGGAGACACCCCAAGCUUAUCCUUGUAUAUAAUCUUUUUAAUCUUUUCUCUCAUUUCUUUUUAUGUUUUAGGAUCUUUUGAUGGGUUUUGUGAGUUGGUCUCAGGUUCUAGGUGAUUUUUGGAGGACAUAGCCCAGUGAUAAAAGAAAUGAAGCAUGUGAGAGGGCUGAGAGAAGUGUUUAAGGUCUGAAAAGCUUGGAGGGCGCCUGAGUGCUACCUAGAUGUGCGGCUUGGUGCAAGAAGAGCCCAGGUCGCAGCCCAACUCGCAAAUUACUCCGGCCUGGGCGUGCUACCUGGUGUAAGAAGACCAAGCCGCAAAAAACCAUGAAGAGGCCCGAAGUGUUUAAGUCCCAAAUACUGCGGCUUGAGAGUGCGGGUCAGAAGAGAGGAAGCUAGGCCGCACGUCCAUUCGCAAAUUACUCCGGCAUGGGCGUGCUGGCUGGGAGCAAGCAAACCAGGCCGCACCAAAAAGAAAAGAGGACGAGGUAUUUAAGUCCAAAAACCUGCGAUCUGGUGCUGCUACCUGAAACCCAAGGAAGCUAACCCGCAUGAAGACUCGCAAAUUACUCCGAGUUAGGCGUGCUACCUGGGAAGCAUGGAGGCUAGGCCGCAGCAUUGGAAGAAAGGCCGAGGUAUCUAUGUCCCAAAGUCUGCGAGUUGGUCCAAGACAAGUCCAUGCCGCACAAGGGAGUUCAGGCCAAGCCAAAUCCAUCUCCAGUGGUGUCUGGCCUCAUCUGGUGCAGAUACUCACUCCCCUUUUGCAUAAGAACCACACCAGGUAUCACUCCAAACACUUGUAAAUGAGCAUUUAGCAUUUUUCUUUAUCUUUUGCAUUUCAUGUUUGAUUUUUCCUCUUUCUCAUGCUUUUAUAACACAAGGGACUGUGUUAUUUAAGUGUGGGGAAGGGGUUUUGUGUUUACUAAUCAUGUUUAUUCUGCUCUUAUUUUCCUUUUCACUUUGAGUCUCAUUUUGCAAUCAUCUAAGUGCAUAUAAAAACAAAAAAAAUGGAAAAAUCUGAAAAAUUUUCACAAAAAAAUGCUCAUGUAGUUGCAUUCACAUUUUAGGUUGAGUCUAGUUUGCAUUUUCAUAUAGGUUGCAUCAUAUGCAAAUGGGAGUAAUGAUAGGUUCUUUCCUUGAGAGUACAUCACUUUGAGAAUUUGGAUUAAAUAUGCUUGUGAAAUGACUUCUGUGCUUCCAAGGCUUGAAAUGGUUUGAAUCUGAGAAGCAAGUUUGAAUUGAACUCAACUCUAAUAAGUGAAAACCCUGAACUUGACUUGAAAUUAUCUUGUGAUGCAUUGUUUGAAUAAGCUUGUGGAUACCUAUAUACAUAUUUGAGCUAGAAUCCUGUUUUUACCACCCUCUUCCUUAGCUCAAAUAGCUGAGUCCACAUCUGGAUCAGUUUUCCUCACCUUGAACCCAUCCUUCCUUCAAGCCAAAUGUUUGUGUGUGAUUGAAAGGCCACCUUGGAUCAAACUUAGCAGAAAGUGUUAGGUUUAGAGCGACAAGGGCAAGUCUCAUUGAGUGUUAAGUUCCAUCAUCAAGGAGCUGAGAGAUUUGGCAAGAACUAAGUGUGGGGGAAUACUUGUUGGUGAGUGGAAAGGAGAGAUGAGUGGAAAUAAAAGGAGAAUGGUGAGAACUAGGGGAUAUAAAAAGAAAAGAAAUCAGUCUUGGAGUUUUGAGUCAAAGAAAGUGAGCUCUAGUGUUUUGAAAAGAAAAAGUCUAGCCUCUAAGUGAAAAGAACAGAAAAGAAGCCCAAGAGCUCAAAUGUUUUAAAAAGAAAGAAAAAGAGGCUAGAAGUUACAAAAGAAAGUGAAAAGGAGCUAUGUAAAGUUUGAACUCCAAGACUUGAGUGUGAAAAUGAUGAGUGAGUCCCCUAGUGAGAGGAAAAUGAGUGUGGAAAUUGAGGUUCUUGAGAGGUUGAGCAAGUGAGAAUUCUUUGAGUAGAGUGUGGGGUGGGAUGAGUCCUUGCCCUUGUAUGCAUAGGUUGCUUUUUACCUUUAGCAUUCUGCCAAAGUUUGAUCAUUCAUAGAGAGAUCCCCUUGCUGCAUUGAACCCACUCAGGCGCUGAUGAGACCAUUUUAGUCUCAUUACCUCACCCUAGCCAAACUUUGCUUGUUUGAACAUUGCAUCAUUUGAUCCACUUGGUAAAGAGCUUAAUGAAUGUUAAAGAGUUGAGGAAUAAGAGAACUUGUGGAGAAUACUGUUGAGUUGAUACAUCAGAGUAUGGUCUUGCAUUGCAUAUUGAGCAUGAACUUGAAUUCUCUUAGUGGUCACUUUUCUCUUUCAAAGGAAAAAUGAGCUCCCAAUGCAUUCAACCUCUCUCUCUCAUUUGUUCUUUUUGCUUGAGGACAAGCAAAGGAUAAGUGUGGGGGAGUUGAUAUAUUCAUAAACUGCAUCAUUUAAUGUACAUAUUCUAGUCCCAAUCAUGUCUCAUUUACAUGCAUUUUAGGUCUUUAGGCAUUGUUUUAGGACUUAGGAGAUUGCAUUAGGUCCAAGAGAGUUUUGCAUGUUUUGGAGUGUUAAACAGGUGCUUUUGGAGUUUAUUUGGAGUGGAGGAUGUGAUUCAGAUGAAGAAAUGGAGUUGAACUUAUCAAAAAUGGUGAAAAGGAGCAAUUUUGGGUUUCUCGGCAAAAUGAUGUACUGAUGUCCGAAGAUUCUCGGCCAAAUUCCUUCCCGCGGGUAGCUUUCUCGGCCAAAAACACGUACCGCGGUCAAGUCUCUCGGCCAAAAAUUCCGGGUGCAGAUACAUUUCCGAAAUCGCAUCACCGGAAACUCUUGCCGGCCGAUUCAGCUUACAGGGUCUUCAGAAAAGUUGGAGAUAAUUGAGUCAAGAACCCAGGACAGGUUGAAUAAAGGCAUUUGGAGCACUGAGCUGAAAGAUACGGUCACCGGAAGACAGACCUCUCUCGCAUCCAUUCCGGAGCAAUCCGAUACUCCUGAAUGAUCGCCUGUCCGGAGAACCUUCCGGUCCGAUUCAGCUGUCGGGCGCUUCCUCAAAGUUUGGGAAGGUUCGAGCACGGUUCCAUAGCAAGUGGAAUCACUCAAUUCGGACGCGUGAGCAGAAAGUUAAGCUCGGCGGAAGAAACUCCUGUCUCGCUGCCGUUUUGGACCAAACCGAUGAGCUCCGAAGAAUGCGAAGGACGGUGCACUUCCAGGCCGAUUAAGCUUCCGGGGCCUUCAUGAGAAUCAGUGAAAUUUGCGUCUUCGUUUUAGAACUUCCACGAGUAUUCAAUUCGGAGCUAUGAGAAGGAAGAUACGUUCUCCGGAAUGGACACAUGUCUAGACGCCUCUCUCUGAUCGUGUAAAUGCAAUGCAAAGAUGAGCCCUCCAGGAAGCCUUCCACUUCCCAAGAACCAAAGCUGCCUUCACCACAGUUGGAGAUAUAUGAGUCCACUGUUCUCUGCAACCGGAAUCACUCAAUUCGGACAAGUCUCGUAGAAGUUACACUCUUCGGAAUGCGAAGUGGUCCAAGCUGCUCUGAAUGCUGCGAGAAAGCCUUGCGACUUAAUUAACUCGCAGGCCUGAAGACGAAUGCCUGGAAAUUGAUGCUGCGAGUUGAGAAGUGCGGGCAAGCUAUCAAUGGAUGAGGUCUGAGGCUCCCGAGCAAGAAAAUUGCUAAGUCCACAAUACUGCGACUUGGGCAUGCUACCUAGGAGACGCUGGAACCAAGCCGCAUGAUCACUCGCAAUCUACUCCGACUUGGGCGUGCUGGCUGGGAGCAAGGAGACCAACCCGCACGUUUUGUACAUUCCCCAGAAACCGCCUUGGUCCUGCGAGUUGAAGAAGAAGAAGAUUAAGCCGCAGCAAGACUCGCAAAACACUCCUACUUGGGCGUGCGGCUAAGACAAAGCUAUUAAGUCUCACAAGACAAGUUCUUCAUCUACUGCGACUUGGGCAUGCUACCUGGGAGACACUGGACCAACCCGCAGGAUUUCCACUUUACCCACUAAAGCCGGGUCAGGACCCGGUUUGUUCCGGGCCGACCCGGUUCAUUAGCAUUUAGUAUAUAUAGCUUUUUGGAGAAAAACCCUAGGGAUCUUAUCUUCUCUCUUAGUUUCUCUCUAGUUUUCUUUCCUUUUUAUUGUAAAACGUUUUUGAUUAAGAGAUAUCUGAAGGGAUUUGAUCAUUCCAAGUCUGUUUCUUAUCAUCUCAUCAUCUCAUUUCUGCUUCUAAUCAUGAUUAACAUCAUCUCUUGCAAAAGAUUAGAUGUGUUCUUCAUGAUUAGUGAGUAGUCAUCUUUUAAGCUUCUAGGUGUGUAGAUUAGGGUGCUUAGAUGUUUGAUUUGUGAUGUUUAGGGUUUAGAUUCUCAUUUCAUUUCCUUAGUUAGCUGCUCCUAAUGCCAGAUUUCCAUGGGAAAGUGAAAUCUGGGUUCAUAGGCAUUUCAUGCACCAAAAGUGUUUGAUGAAAUGCCUGAAAGAGCUAACUUAAGGGUUUAUGUUUUAAAUGCCAUGAGAAUGUUUGUUUGAAGCAUAAAUGACAUAUUAGAACUGUUUUUGAAUGCUCAUUAGUUCAUAUUUCACAAAUGGGAAUUUGGUUUGAAAGUGGAUUAGUGUAGAGAUUAAUGCCUACAUGAGAGGAUUAGUUUAGAUUAGAGUUCUAAGUUUAAAUGUUUGUGAUCAUGUGAUUGCUUGCUAUGUCUUUCUGUGUAAGAUUCAGUCUUUCUUAGCUCUUAUUUUGAUGCACAAAGAGGCUGUUUGGUCAUGUUAGACUUGGAACCUUAUGCUUGUUAAUUGCUUAUUCACUAAUGGGAAUUAGUCUUGAAUUGGUAAUUAACAAAGGGAUUUCUGUCAUGAGAAUGAAUUAAUCUGAAUUGGAAGUCUAGACUAAAUAUUUGCAAGUGUUGCAUUGUUUGCUUAGCAUCAUGAAUUCACAUUUAAAGCACCCUGAUCAAUGAUCACAUCUAGAGGUUUAGCUUUCUCUUUAUUUGAAUUUGAGUGUUUAUUUUGUUUCUCUUGCUUGUUUAAUUCUUAAUUACUGUUUGUUCUUGCUUGUUUUUUUAUAUGCUUUUAGAUAAUCUUGGUUACCAACUCAUCUGCUUAUUAGACUUGGAUUAAGAUAGCUCCUCAUAGUUCUAGUGUCUAGAAUCUCUCCAUUUGGAUUGAUACCUCAAGUGCUACAAUGACAUGAGUAGUUGAGGAAUUGAUCAAGGAUUGAAAAUUUCAUACUAUUACCGUGUUAAAAUCCUCUAUUGACCUGAAACCCAUCCCCCCAUCAGAUUUGUGAUGAUACAUCCUUUUCCAUGCUAGCCAGUACAUUCCCCUCCCUUGGCCACUCGUGUUCCACCAGAACCUUGCCGUGAUGCUAGUUAACUUUGUGAUGAUUGACUUCGGUAAGCGGAAACAUGACAUGACAAAUGUUGGCAUAGCUGAUGCCACCGAUUUUAUUAGGACUUCCUUUCCCCCUUUUGAUAAUAAAUUUGAUGUCCAUCCGUUUACACGGUCCUGUUGUCUAUCAGCUAGAAACUGAAAGAUCUUGCUUUUCGCUCCUCCAAGAUUUUCCGGCAAUCCUAAAUAUGAGCCCAUUCCCCCCAUAUUGUUAAUUCUUAAGAUUUGUUUCAUCUCAUUUUGCACUACGUCUGAGACCUUAUGCCUGAAUUGUAGCGAUGACUUAUCAAAAUUUAUUUGUUGACCCGAGACGUUCUUAUAUUGUCGAAGCACCUGCAGUAUCUGUUGGCAUUCCUCUUUAUUUGCUUUACAAAAGAAGAGGCUAUCAUUCGCAAAUAAUAAGUGUGAGAUCGAUGGACUUGAACGGGCUACUUUUAAUCCGGUCAGUUUUUUUGUCUCGUUCCGCCUUCUUUAUAUUAGAGAUCAGAACUUCCGUAUAUAAAAUAAAUAAGUAUGGGGACAGGGGAUCCCCUUGUCGGAGUCCCGGAUGUGGAAUAAUUCUUCCUUUGGGUUGCCCAUUCAGUAGAACUUUGUAUUGUACUGAUUUUAUACACCACAUCAUCCAGGUAAUCCAUCUUUCCGCAAAUCCAAUUUUCCUCAAAAUAUGUUCUAUGAGAUCUCAUUCGAUCCUGUCAUAUGCUUUGCUCAUGUCCGUUUUAAUUGCCAUGAAUUUAUCUUGGCAGGACUUGUUAGUACGGAGUCCGUGGAACAUUUCCUGUGCUUUUAGAAUGUUAUCUGAGAUCAAGCGUCCAGCGACAAAAGCCGAUUGUGUUUCUAAAAUUAUAUUGGGUAAUAAUCUUUUUUUAACCGUUGGCACAAGACUUUAGAAAUGAUUUUAUAUCCUACAUUACAUAGACUUAUUGGUCUUAACUCCGUCAUUCGAGUUGGCCUUUCCUUUUUAGAAAUUAAGCAUAUGUUAGUCAUAUUUAAUUGUUGAUCGAAAACCCAUGUUUCCAAGAAGCCAUUGACUAACCCAAGUAAAUCCGUUUGACUAUCUGCCAUGAUUUUUGAAAAAAUAAAGCUGUCAUCCCGUCUGGCCCUGGAGCCUUUUCCUGGUUCAUCAUAAACAGCGCUUCGUGCACCUCAUCUUCUGUUGCUUCCGCCACUAACAUGGAAUUAUUCUCCUCCGUGACUAGAGUUUGAAUCUCUCCUAGUGCUGAAUCAAAUUCUGAUGGGGAGGUCGAAAUGAACAAAUUCUCAAAAUAUCCCACUGCUACUUUUUCGACCUCUUUUUCGGAGGUUACACAUGAACCUGCCGCAUUGUAUAAACCAAAAAUUCGAUUCCUCGCCCGUUUUUGUUUUACAUGCGCAUGAUAGAAUUUUAUGUUUUUGUCGCCUCCCAGGGCCCAUUGAUUCCGGCUUUUCUGUUGCCAAAACAACUCCUCGUCCCUAUAUGCUGCUUUUAACUUCCGUGUAACUUCCAAUAAGUCCUCCUCCGAUUUUUUAUCGUCGUUUUGAACUUCCUCUAGCUCCUUUUGUAACUCAGUUAUUCUCUCUUUCCCGUAUUGUGAAUUGUUUUUCCUCCAUCUCGAUAUUUCUCUGCAACAGUUAGAAAUUUUUUGCCAUGAACGUUCCCUCUCGUCUCCCGAAGUUUGAAUUCCAUCCUGUGGAUAUAACAUCCAUUAAACCAUCUUGACCGAUCCACCGUUUGUUAAACCGGAAUUGUGUUCUUUUUCAGGGGAUUUUUUCUUCAAUUCUUGCUACUAUCGGUCUAUGAUCUGAUCCAAUCAUUACCAGAUACUCAACAAACGAGUGGCAGAAAAUAUCAUGCCAAUGUUCAUUUGCUAGAGCUCGAUCCAAUCGACAUCUUACUAUCUUUGAGUUUCUGCGUCCCCUCCAAGACAUAGUAUUUCCUAAACAUGGAAAUUCUAGGAACCCGCAAAUGCUAAUCAUUAGAUUGAAGGAUGUAAAAUUUGAUGCAUGUCAAGACUCCUCCUUUUUUUUCAUGGUUGCCGGUUAUUUCGUUUAGAUCCCUAUAAUAAACCAUGGUUCCUUUCGAGAAAGGUUAGUUCUUGUUAAUCGUUCCCACACUUGAUCCCGCUGUUUAGUACCGGAUCACCAUAAAUAAAUGACAUAUAGACAUUUUUUCCUUGAAUAACCGUUUCGAUAUCAGUUAUUCUGUCAUUAGAAAAUAUUACCUUAUAUUAAAAUGAUCGUUAUAAAAAAGCGCAAGUCCGCCACUUGCUCCGCAAGGUUCAACCAUAAAUAAUUUAUUAUAACCAAAAUGAAAUUGAAAUUAUUGCACAAAAGAAAAACAUUGUUUGGUCUCGGAAAGAAAUAAAAAUUAUGGCCUAUGUCUUUUCUGAAUCUCUCGCAGAUAGCUUAUUGUCCAUUUGCUUCCAAGACCCUGGCAAUUCCAACUAAGUAUCCGCAUUGAUCACUUUGUUUGUCGAUUUCUGCCCCUGUUUAGCCCCUUUGGAGCUCCAUGCUGCCCUUUUUCACCUGUGUGGUUUCCGGUUGUGACCCCUUGUUUUUUGCGAGGAGAUGUUAAUUUUUGGACCAGUCGCUUCUUUGUGCUUCCUCCGAGAAAGAGCGGAUUGCUCUUGACGGUUUUCUUUUUUGCAAGGAUCUUGUCUCCCUCCUUCACCGCUUCUCCGGGCCCCACUUCCUCCAUGUCCGAUGAUUUCGCAGUCUCUGUAUCUCUCCCAGUAAAUCCGCUACUGUAACAUCAAGACCAGCAGAAUCCCAUAGAUCCUCUACCUCUGUGAUGUUUUGGAAAAACUCGCCUUCUUCUAAGUCACCCUCACCCCUUUCCUUCUCCACAUUCCCUUCUAAUAUUACCAUAUCCGAAUUAGCCUCCAUAUCUUGCACAAGGGUAGCUGAGAUUUCAUUACCGGAGAAGCUUGUCUUGGUUUGUUCCUGCAUUUCCGAGCACAAGUUCAGCUCUUCUUCUUAUGCAGGUUCCGAGCUAUGUUCCAUCAGGUAGCCUGAGAUAUCGGUAUCUGAUAAGAUCAGCCCCUGUUCCUGCACAUCGCCGUCAAUUGCCAUUGCAUCAUCAUGUUUAGGCUCUAUCACCUGAUUAAUGCUUCUAUACCAAGAGGUUUGGGUUGAUGCGAUUUCUGCAGGUUAAUAAUGCAAACAAUUUUAUAUGGAAAUUUUCAACGUGGUGCAAGGUAAGUCAUUUGUUGUGGUCCCAGUCUAUGUGAGACAGUGUGAUGUAAAGAUAACUGUUAAUUGUGAUUCCAGUCUGCUCGUGGAUUCUUGUGAAACAAAUAUAUUUCUCAGUUGAAAAAAUAAUUCUUAUAAUAAUUUUUCUAAUUUGUAAUAAAAUUUCACAUGGCAAAAGAGAAAAAUAAGUACCAUAACCUUUUACCUGAAAAUUUUGAUUAACUCGAAUCGAGGACAGAAAUGGUCGGAAUAUCUUAUUCCAAAUAAGAAUGCUCAUUCGUAAUGACGUCUAAAGGGUUGAAUGGUUUAAACACAGUGGAUGUGGUUACAAGUGCAGGAGUUUGCAAAAGCAGGUGAUUGCAGUUUCGAGCGUUAUUAAGUAGUUUAUUUGACUGGUUUAAUUGUUGAAAACAGGUCUAUUUGCAGAAUAAUUUUGACUAGUUAACCAACAGAUGUAUUAGCGAUUAAACAGAAAAUUACCAAAAAAAUAUAAUAUAUAAUUAUAAAAAAUAAUAAAAAAUUAUAUUAUUAUGUUAAGGCUCUGAUUGGUAAGAACUAUAAUUGUAGGCUGUUUCUGUAAGCUUUUGACUGUAUAAAUUUUGGCUGUAAAAAUUAUGACUAUUACUUAAAAAAAAAAAUUCUGAUCGGUAACAAAAACUGUAAAAUCUGUAACUAUUAUUUUAAAGAUUAUUAACUUUUAUCAAAAAUGUAGUUAAUAUAUAGGUCUUAAAUACAUAUAGACACAUAUUGAAGAAACUCGAACAAAAUCAUUUUAUUAAUAAUAACUAAAAAAUACAAAACUAUUUAAAACGUAUUUUGAACAACUAAACUAUAUAUAUAUAUAUAUAUAUAUAUAAAUAUUAUUUUAGGUCAUAAAAUAGUUGAUAAUUAAGACAAUAUACUUGAAUUUAUCACCAACUGAUUAGUAAAACCUAUUAAUAUAUAAUUUUCCUUACAACAAAAAUCUAAUUUAAAUAAUCAGUUAGAUUUUACUUAAUUCUAUUUUGAUUAUGUUAAGUAUUCUUUUUAACUACACAAUAUAAGUUGUACUUAAUUGAAAAAAUGCAACAAAUGAAAAAAAAAAAGAACCUUGCAGCCAUAAAAGCCUCGUCUAGUGGCUUUAGAAAAAAUAAAAAAAUUCAAGAGUAGAAAAGAAACAAUUGACAAUUAAGAUUGUAGAGAAAAAAAGAGGGUUAAAAGUCUGACAGUUGAGUUUUUUUUUUUCUCUCUGUGUUCUCUCAUCCUCAUCUUUCACAGAGAGAGAGUUUUUUCUCAAAUUUUGCGUUAAGUUUCCAAUUAAUAUCGGAUUGAAUUUCCGGUUCAUCUAGAGCUAAUAAAUUCCGGCGAGUCCGGAUUUCUCUUUGGCUUAGUCCGAUUAACUUUGUUUUUUGGUGUGUUAAUAAUCUUCCGAUUAACGGAUUCCUUUUGCUAGAGAUGUAUGUUUUCAGAUCCUUUUUCUUGUGUGAGUUUAAUCCUUCGCUAAUCCUUAGUUGAGUGAAGGAUUUUAUCAAGUUGGAGGAUUUAUUGAUCUUUUCAAGGUUUAAAGCAGAAGGUUUUUCGUUUUCGGAUCUCUAAUCUUCUUCUCUUUCUCCGGCGACUUAAAGUUGAUAUUGGAUCUAUUCUCUUUAAUCGUUAUGCUCGAUCUCUCUGUUUGGGGAGAAAUAAAUAUCUACCUCAAAGGUUAAGGCAGAGUUUCUCUUACAAAAUUAAGAUUCAUGUGUCGACUAACUUAUAGAUUUGGUUAAGGCAAUCUUGCUGUCAAAUCAUAUAAGUUUCUCGUUGGUUUAUCUCGGCGAUUUGGGGAAGAUUCAUCCAUUAUAUCUGGCGAAAUCUUAAGAGGAAGAUGUUGCAGUGGUGCAAUUUAGUGUUUAAGGAAUCGAAGUUCGCGGCAGCUGUCGGUGGUGUAGGAGAUCGGAAGUCUAUCGGAGUUUUCUUGAUGAGGGCAUACAACUACAAGCACCACCUAUACCAGCCGUGAGACAAGGACCAAAAACAAGGUCAGGAACUAGAUUCUUGCGUGAAGAGUUUAAUCAAGCCAUUGAAGCUUUAGUUAGCAUCCACAAGCACGAAGACUCUUUGUACCCAAGCUUUAAGGCCACAAUCCAAUAAAGGAGCCCGGAAGAGCCUAAUGAAGAAGAAGCCUAUCAUAUACAAGACGGCCCAAGAACUGAAUUGCCACUUCUCCGACCCAACAAGGAAGUGUCCCUAUUCAGCGUCAGCAUCACGCUAACUUAAGACCAUCCUAGCCGUCCAAUCUACCAAGGUAAGCUAAUGAAUACAAUAUCUACUUGCCUAACUUGGUUUUCUGUCUUUGGUUUGUUUUACAGGUUCUAUUCAUAGUUUUAAGUUUUAUAAUAUCUCUCUAGUUAUUGCACGAGUCUAUACUUGCUUCUUUAGAGUCCCAGAAUUUGUGUCAUUUAUUGUAUUUGUUUCAAGUCCCCAAGAAGGGCAAAGCUGCAUCAGACUCUCUUAUAAAGUCCCAUAUAAGCAGCCGUGUAUUUUUUACCUAAUAUCAAUAAAGAACGCACUUAUUCAAGCAAAGUCUUGUCCAUUGAAUUCAUUGAUUUCGUCCAGAGUUGGUGUUUGAUUCUUCUCUUAAGAGCUGGUGUUUGAUCCAUCUCUUGCCGGUCUUAUCAAAGCUCAUUCCAUAGAUCUUUGUGGCGACCAUCAUUCCACUGUGUGAAACACUUCCAUCCCAUCCCUUGACUUAAUCAGAGAGAGUUACAUAACCAGCUGAUCGAGUCCCAUCCACUUUCACUUUGAAUCCAUUUAUUAUCCUUGUUGAGAGAGUUAAACAACCAGCAACAAGGAGCCAUCACUAUCUAUAGGCCCGUGCCUAUAUCAUCUGGUAUCAGAGUCAAAAAGGUUCCAAACCAGAUUUUAUCCUUUCAUACCUUUCGGUUAUAUCUCUUUUGCAUCUUCGUUUUCUUGUCGCAUAAUUAUUCAAAAACCAAAACAAAGAGUUCUAUUCAAUUCGCAUACAUAGCAUAUCAUCUUGAGCAUUCAUCUACAUCUCUAGAAUCAUUUCCCUUAGCAUCUUUAAUAGCAUCAACUAGUUGCGGCUCAUUGUUAGAACAAGAAUCUGUCAAAGCCCUAGUUAGCCGAAAAAGGAAAGUCUUCAUAAUCACGUAUAAAAAAAAGGAAAGAGUUUACAUUUUACUCAUUGCCUCGUCGUUUUAUUUAGUAUCAACAAAAAAAAAGAGAAAGAAGAAAUUUCUUUAUACACAUUUAGUCGCAUCUUAGCUAUCUCCUAUUUCACUAGGGACUCUUUUGCACUUGAUCUUUUGUUUGCUCUUGUAUGCAGACAUCAGCCAUGGGAGACAACACCGCACAACUACCAGACGUCAUGCAACAGCUACUUGACGGUAUGUGGAGUGUUAGUGACCGUCUCAACCUCAUGGAGCAACAAUUGCCACCACCAGCUCAGCCCAACAAUAAAGGAAACCAACCGAGGGAGCAACCAAGGCAACAACAUGACAAUGGUGAAGAAUAAACCGAUGAAGACAUGCCAAGUCUCGAAGAUGACCUACCACCUGACCCAAACCCACGAUACGGCAGGCGAGACGAUCAUGGCCAAGGCCAACAUCAGCACCGUGGAAGAGAAAGAAGCCGAGAGUGAGAUAGAGAAGACGAGAGAUAUGGGGGCAAAGAUCUUAAGAUUACCCCACCCACCUUUGCUGGAAAGGUCAACCCCGAGGCUUACCUAAAUUCGGAAAGAAGAAUGGACCAUAUCUUUGAUUACUACUGACAGACCAUGCUCUCACAUGGUGGGACCGAUAGGUUUCUGAAAGACGAAGGCUAAGACGUGGGCAAAUCACAAAUUGGGAGGACAUGACGUUCCAUCUAAGAAAGAGGUAUGUGCCAGCUUAUUACUUUAGAGACUUACAGAAACGUUUUCCAAAAUUGUCUCAGGAGAAUAGAUCAGUAGAGGAUUACUACGAGGAGUUUGAGACUAUCAGAAACUGAUUGGAGCUUCAAGAGUCAGAGGAGACAUUGAUGGCCCAAUUUGUCGAUGGACUCCAAGAAAGAAUCGCAAGAAAGGUAGAGUGGCAGAGCUAUGAGCACAUGGAAGAUUUGCUGCACUUUGACAUCAAGUUGAGCAGCAUUUCAAGAAGAAAACAACCACUAACUGAAGGAAGUCUACUUGAACUCAACCCUUCUCUAAACCAAUGCACAAAGGUAAAUCCAUAGAAGUGGAAAAUCGGUUCAAGAAACCAGCUUCCAGACCAUCAAAGCCGGCUAAAAAUGAGCAAGGUAAGGCUCUUAUUCAAAGGUCUCGAGAUAUAACGUGUUUUUAAGUGUCAGGGAAAGGGCCACUUUGCAAAAGAAUGCCCGAAUCAAAGGGUAAUGGUGUUGAGAGAAAAGGGAGAGUAUGAGUCACAAGAUGAAGCCGAGUUAGAAGCCACUGAUUCAGAAGAAGAGAUAACCGAUUUUCCUGAGGUUGGGGAGAUGUUGGUGAUCAGAAGAUAUCUCGGUGCACUAUGUGAUCCCGAGACACUUCAAAGAGAAAACAUCUUUCAUACGAGAUGUAGCAUUGGGAACAAGGUAUGUAGCCUCAUUAUAGACGGUGGCUCUUGUACUAACGUGGUUUUGAAAAGACAAAGCACCCAAGUCCUUACCGUUUAAGAUGGCUCAAUGAUACCACGGAGGUGAGGAUUGCGGAGCAAGUUGUUGUACCAUUCAGUAUAGGAAAGUAUAGUGAUCAAGUUAAGUGUGACGUUGUACCCAUGCUAGCCGGUCACCUGCUCCUUGGGAGGCCAUGGCAGUUUGACAAAGAAACCGUGCAUAACAGUCGCACCAACUACUAUUCUUUCACUCACAACAACAAGAAGCACAACUUAGCCCCUGUCACGCCAUCAGAGGUUCGUGAAAUGCAACAGACCAUGAACAAAAGGAGAAAGCUAAGUAAAACCAAUUUAUUUGUCUCACCGAGUACAAUUCUUAAAAACCUUGAUCAUAAACAACCAGUAUUGCUCAUGAUCUUUAGAGGAAGUUUGUUUACAGAUAAUGAAGAAGGCUAGGAGCUUCCACACGAGGUAACUCAGCUACUGGACAAGUUCAAAGAUGUCUUCCCAUAAUAGAUACCACCUGGCCUCCCACCCAUAAGAGGCAUUGAGCAUCAAAUUGAUCUAGUACCGGGGGCACCCUUACCUAACCGAGCCGCAUAUAGGGUUAAUCCAACAGAGGCGAAGGAACUAGAGGCUCAAGUAUAGGAUUUGAUGUCUAAAGGUUACAUAAGAGAGAGCCUCAGCCCGUGUGCAGUGCCAGUCUUGUUGGUGCCAAAGAAGGACGACUCUUGGAGAAUGUGCGUGGACUGUAGAGCCAUUAACAACAUCACCAUCAAAUAUAGGCAUCCAAUUCCGAGACUAGACAACAUGUUGGACGAGUUAAGUGGAGUUACUAUCUUCUCAAAGGUGGAUCUAAAGAGUGGUUAUCAUCAGGUGAGAGUAAAGGAAGGAUAUGAGUAGAAAAUUGCCUUCAAGACCAAGUAGGGUCUGUACGAAUGGCUUGUGAUGCCUUUUGGUAUCACAAACGCCCCAAGUACCUUCAUGAGACUCAUGAACCACGCCUUGAGAGCAUACAUCUGUAAGUUUUUAGUGGUUUACUUCGAUGAUAUUCUAAUUUACACCCAAUGUUUGAAGGAUCAUAUUAAGCAUCUAGAGCAGGUUAUAGAGACGCUUAGAUUAGAGGGUUUAUAUGCAAAUCUUAAGAAAUGUAUCUUCUGCACUGAUCAAUUGGUGUUUUUAGGAUUUGUUGUAAGUUCUCAGGGCCUUAAAGUGGAUGAGGAGAAGAUUAAAUAAUGGCCCACACCAGCCACGGUUGGACAUGUUUGAAGCUUUCAUGGUUUGGCAAGUUUUUACAGGCGCUUUGUCAAGGAUUUCAGUACAAUAGCAGCCCCAUUGACAUCUGUGAUCAAGAAGAAUACUACUUUCACUUGGGGGCCAACUCAAGAAGCCGCAUUCAAUAAGCUGAAGGAGAGCCUCACAGAGGCACCGGUUUUAGUCCUUCCUAACUUUGAUAAAAUGUUUGAAGUUUAAUGUGAUGCAUCAGGUACCGGCAUAGGAGCUGUCUUAACUCAAGGAGCAAGACCAAUAGCUUAUUUCAGUGAGAAGUUAAGUGGGGCAACGCUCAACUAACCAACUUAUGAUAAAGAGCUCUAUGCUUUGGCGAGGUCACUAGAAACGUGGCAACACUAUCUGCUCCCAAAGGAGUUUAUCAUCCACACAGACCACAAGACCCUCAAGCACUUAAGAGGCCAGAUCACACUUAAGAAAAGGCAUGCACGGUGGUUAGAAUUCGUGGAGACCUUCCCAUAUGUGAUCAAGUACAAGAAGGGGCAGGAGAACAUUGUAGCCAAUGCACUUUCAAGGCGUUACACUCUCAUCUCUACAAUGGAAACCAAGAUCAUGGGGUUUGAACACAUCAAGGGAGGAUAUGAAUCUUAUCCCGACUUCUCAGAAGUCUACAAAGAAACUACAAAGGCCGCAUUUGGAGUAUUCUACCAACAAGAUAAGUUUCUAUUUAAGUAGAAACGGUUGUGCAUCCCACAAGGAUCCAUGAGGGAGUUGAUCACAAGAGAAGCUCAUGGAGGCGGGUUAAUGGGAUAUUUUGGCCGAGCUAAGACGCUGAGUGUACUGAUGGAGCACAUGCGAAGAGAUGUGGAGAAGCUAUGUGCCAAAUGCAUCAUUUGUCUUUGAGCUAAGUCCAGGUUACACCCUAACGGUUUACAUAUGCCUUUACAUAUUCCUAAUGCACCCUAGGUGGACAGUUCUAUGGAAUUUUUUCUAGGCUUUCCUAAGAUACACAACAAAGACUCCAUUUUUUAGUAGUAGACAGGUUCUCAAAGAUGGCGCACUUUAUACCAUGUAACAAGACCAAUGAUGCAACUCAAACAGCUGACCUCUUCUUUAAAGAAGUUGUGCGCCUACAUGGAGUCCCCAGAACCAUUGUUUCAGACCGAGUCACAAAGUUCCUCAGCCAUUUUUGGAAGUCACUGUGGAGAAAGCUUGGAACCAAACUCUUAUUCUCCACCACUUGUCAUCCUCAAACGGAUGGGCGAACCGAGGUAGUAAACCGUACACUCUCAACCUUAUUGUGGGCCACGGUUGGUAAGAAUCUCAAGAAUUGGUUAUCUUGUCUACCUUUCAUUGAAUUUACUUAUAACCGUUCCAAACACUCUGCUACUAACCAAUCUCCUUUUGAAGUUGUCUAUGGGUUCAACCCUCACACGCUUUUAGACCUUAUUAACUUGCCACCAGCCAUCUAUUUGAGCGCAGAAGGAGAAGCUAAGGCUGAUUUUGUGAAAAAGCUGCACCAAAAGGUUAAAGAGAGGCUGGAGAAAAAGAACAAGAAGGAAAAGGCAUGAAUUGACAAAGGACACAAGGAGAUCACCUUUGAACCAGGAGAGUGGGUGUGGUUGCACAUGAGGCAAGACAUGUUCCCACAGCAAAGAAAAUCCAAGCUUGCACCAAGGGGAGAUGGACCAUUCCGAGUCUUGGAGAAGAUCAACGACAAUGCAUAUAAGUUGGAGCUGCCAGGUGAGUUUAAUAUAUCUCCUACUUUCAAUGUUACUGAUUUAUCUCCUUAUGAUGCAGGUGAAACUGUUCUGAGGACAGAACCUUCUCAAGAGGGAGAAGAUGAUGAGGGCAUACAACUACAAGCACCACCUAUACCAGCCGUGAGACAAGGACCAAGAACAAUUACAGGAACUAGAGUCUUGCGUGAGGAGUUUAAUCAAGCCAUUGAAGCCUUACUUAGCAUCCACGAGCAAGAAGACUCUUUGUACCCAAGCUUUAAGGCCAUGGUCCAAGAAAGAAGCCCGGAAGAGCCUAAUGAAGAAGAAGCCUAUCUUAUACAAGACAGCCCAACAACUGAAUUGCCACUUCUCUGACCCAACAAGGAAGUGUCCCUAUUCAGCAUCAGCAUCACACCAACUUAAUACCAUCCUAGCCGUCCAAUCUACCAAGGUAAGCUAAUGAAUACAAUUAUCUACUUGCCUAACUUGGUUUUCUGUCUAUUUAUUUUACAGGUUCUAUUCAUAGUUUUAAGUUUUAGAAUAUUUCUCUAUUUAUUGCACGAGUCUGUACUUGCUUCUUUAGAGUCCCAGAAUUUUUGUCAUUAAUUGUAUUUGUUUCAAG